rnacentral:lncRNA from 1 species
GCUAGCUUAGUGAAAGUAACAAGAUACUGAAAAUGUGAGUUAUAUGCAUACCAUGGCCUUUCCCAACCAUCCGCAGUUGAGCGACAUAUUCAGCUAUCUUCUUAAUGGAUUCAACCUGAUGAAAAAAAAGUUGUAUUAAUCACAAAAUGAGGCAAAAAGUACUACAAGUUUAACAAAGAAUGUUACCAAUUACGAUAUGAUACUUCUUCUCCCUGUUAAAUUUAUAGAUUUUGUCUCAGUUUUGGACAGAACAAAUGUGUAACAGGUUGAAGACAGCAGGAAAAAGGUAAAAUGUGGCAUCCACAUCUUUUUCUGGACAUCAAUGAAUAAUUAUUCAAACUGUUCUUCAUCAGAAUUAUUGGCAAUUCAUAAAACUCAAUGCUUUUAGACGCGUAAUCUGAAAAUCUUAAUUUGUACCUCACAGGAUUAGAUCAUACAAGAGUUCAAAGUCUUGUGUCAAAUCCAGGGGAAAGAAAUAAGAUUACUUUCGAGCUCACCUGUUCGGUUAAAAAUUCGCUCUCGACGAAAUCUGCCAUUUGUGGAUCAUUGUUCUCGUCUGCCACCUAAUAUUUAUCAAGAACAUAGCAUAGCUCAUGAGCACAAUUGUAAAAACCAUUGACAAUUCCGGUUAUUCAUUGCAAGAAAGUGCUUGCUAUUUCCUAUUUACAAAAGGAAAAACUAGGAAACAUCACCUUGUGCAAGCUCAGCAGUUUCUCAUUUGUCAACUUCUCCAAAGACAAUGCUAAUUCCAUUGCUGGAUCAAAGGAUCAAAGACAGCCCAAGUUAAUUAUCUCAAAAGAACUGUAAUCACCAUCCAUUACAGAAGCAUGCCUUGACACCUCUAUAUAACGGAAAGCAUAACAAAGAUCCCAGAAGUAAUAGAAAUGACAAACAAGAUUAUACUCUUACAAUGUCAUUUGUCACUACAUUAAAACUUGGAUGGAAUUGUAGGCAAGAUCCAAAAAAAAAAAAGUAAUAGCAAUUUCUAACAAUGAACAUGAGUCUAGACACACACCAUAUAAUGCAUCUCCUUUCUCAACAUGCUCAAAUUCAGAAGGGGAUGUCAGUAUAGAGUGAAGUACUACUUUCCCUCCUCGUAUAUUCUGAUUACAUAUAAAUGGAGAAUGAUUAGACAAAAUAAUAAAAAAUACCCAAAAUGAAAGAGAUAAACCAAGAUAUUUUAAUCAGGGAAUAUUUGAGUUUCAAAGUGAGUGGUACCUGAUAUUCCAUGAGCUUUUCAGCAUGUUCUCUUUCUUCUUCACUUGACUCCUUGAAGAAUCUGGUUACAAGUCACAACAUGACCAUACCAUACCUCAGUUCAUAUAAUUCAAAACUUAAAAUUAAAAGAAAGAAAAGAAAAUACUCAAGAAUAAACGUAUGGAUUUUGUGUGGUUACUUGGCUAGGCCUUUGAGAGCAAUGUUAUCCCUGUCAAAAUAGGCAAACAUGGCAUGGUAUACAUAGGAAGCUGUGUACUCCACACUGUUAACACAGAAAAAAAAACACAUCAAUAACACUAAUCUGCAAUGAGUCCACAAGAUUCUAUCUUUUAUGAAAAAAUGGAAAGAGAAAAGUUAUCACUGACUUGAUCUGCUCAUUAAUGGCAGCUUCACACUCAUCCACAAAGUACUGACGAGCAAAAGAAACUUGAGGAGAAUUAGGUACAACAAAGACCUCCUUCUUCACCUCUUCAAAUGGCUGGAAAACAACACCAGUAAGAGUUUCUCCAGUGGCAGAAACUACAAGACUGGUGUUUCUUUUCUUUCUUGAAGCCGAAGGAAAGGCUGAAACAGAAGAACAAGAAAUGCCAUGCCCAUCACUUGUAGGACUAGUGAUUAGGACACGAGCAGUAUCCCCUUGCUUUGCUGCAAGAGAAAAGGCUGGAACAGGGCUCAAAAACGUUGCUGCCAUAGCCUUAAUAAGAGAAAAACAGAGAUCCGUUUCAGAAUUCAGAGAGGUUUUUUGCAAUGGAAAUGGAGAUUGGUGGCUGCUGAAGUUGGAGUUGCAGAGGAUAGUUAAAUACAGAGAGGAGGGUGUUCCAGGCUGGAAGGGCUUUUUUUAUACCGUUGGAUUAAGUUGGACAUGGAGGGUUUAGAUAUAGCCACGUGUUUAGGGCGUGUGGAAGGCUCGUGGUCUAUCCAGUGUGAAUGGAAUCUAACCUAAUAAUUCGUUCCACGCUGCCAACUUACAAUCCUCAAAAAGUUAUCUUUUCUUCGCACUCGCUCGACUGUAUUAUUUGAUUCUACUCGCGGUCUGAGAUCGAGAAUGGUAUGAAUUUUGACUUUCCCUCUAGAUUUGAAAACUCGAGUAGUCUCGUGUCCUAACAAGAGAGGUCUGAGAGAGUAGGUUAUUGUUCUCGCACACUGCCCAGAAACUUUGAAUUUGGACGUGUUUCGCUGCCUUUAGUGCCGGCAACUCUUUUUCGGAGAAAUCCCCCAAUUUAGUUCCUAUGUUUGUGUCAAUGCUUCAAACAAGCCCCUGAAAAAAUCAUUUGAUCAAUUUCACCCUUAAUCGUCACAUUUGUCAAUUCACCGAAUUGGAAAACAUUCCACCGAAUUGGAAACAUGGAUUCGAAGGCGAACACAGCGUACACAUAUAACGUGGGCUGGGUAAAGAAACUUUUUUUAACAUAACAUAUACAAUGGCUAAAUUUGUCCACACAGACAGAAGUAAAAAACUCCCGUUGGAUAUAUUUUUCAAAAAGUAAUAACUAAAUUUGCCAGUGGAGAUAAUAAGAUAUUUUUGCUCCUGUUUUUUUUCACUAGUGAAAUAAUUAAAAUAUCAUUAAAGCCAAAAAAAAAUUAAACGGAAAUUCAAGGGUUGUUUGGAUUUUUUAUUUACAAACUUAAUUAUCUUUGAUUUCAAAUUUUCUUAAGCUUAUUUAGGGUUUCUUUGAUCUUUUCAUUAUUUAUUUUUUUUUUGCAAUUUUGCAGUUGGACUAGUAUCAAUUUGAUAUUUCAGUAGAGAUAAAAUAUUAUUUAAUAUUAAAAGACAGUGUUUGUACUUUUUAAACAACGUAGGCAAAGUCGUGCAAUAACCAAAUAUAUGCUUUCACUAUAGCGUUUCAAUCUCCACGGCAGCCCCUCUAUCAUUGGGCAACACUUGUGACCAAAUUCUCUCUAGUUUUGCGCCAAUAGUCUUUUUUUUCGUUUUUUUUUCUCUUUCCCUCCUUAAUUUCCAUGCAUGUCCCUACAAAGUUUUAAAACAACCCUUUGAUUUUUAUUACUAUGUGUUUUAUUCUAAAUAAUUCAUGGAAUUUGAAUUCUCUUUCAAUUUCAUCCCUUUUUUAUUUUUUUUAUUUGUCAGAUUUGAUCUCUAUUAUUUUCAUUGUUUUUUUUUAUCAUUUUCUUGAUUGAAUUUGUUUGCAUUAUUGAAGCUUUUUUUUUUGUUUUUUUUAUUGAUAAUUUUUUUUAUUUCAUCACUUAGUAUUUUAUUGACCAAAAAUUUGGCCUCAUGAUUUCUUCAUGUUUGCCUUUUAUGGGAUAAUUAUGACCUCAUGACCCAGGUUACAAGUCUGAAAGGUUAGCCUGAGUUGACCAAUGUUUUUUUAGAUCAUUUUUUAUCCAAAAAAAAAAGUUUUAUUUCAUCCUUUUAUAGGGUUAUCUCAAUCUCUUGUAUCGAGUCGUGAGUUUCGCAGCAUAACCCAAGUUGACUCGAGUCAAGUUUGUUUUGUUUGAUUUAUCCGUUGUUGUCUAGGGCCAGGUUUGUUUUAUUUGAGAUGGUUUUAUAUAACCUCAUUGCCAUAUAGAGUGCAGAGAACUAACAAACAACCUUAAUAGGCACAUAUAAUGAGAAAUGAGGUUUUUUAUUUGUAUGUUCAAAUAAAGAUACUUCUUUCUUCUGUCAAGGUAUGCACAAAGUUUAUUUCAUCAUUAUAAUCUAUAUGUUAAUCAGCUACACUCAAAUGAGUCAGCCAUCUUGGUUACUUUCUAGUAGAACUACAUGAGGCAACAUGAGGAAGAACCAUCUCUAAUGGUGUUCAGAUAUUCUUACAAGCUAUCCAAUUAUAGAUGAAGUUUUAAUAAACUAUCCAGUAGAAUCGCAUAAAGAGAUAAGUGCGAUGUUGGAAGAGUUUCAAGAUAGUUGUCUUUCUAAACACCCUAAUUUCAUGCCCUCUAUGUUUGACAUCCAACAUGUCAUAGAUUUUGAACAGCCUCUUGACCUUCUUGAUUCCUUGUCCUCUAUGCCCAACAUCCAACAUAUCAUAGAUUUUGAGUAGUCUAGCUUCAUGAAUCCUUACCUCUUAUUUGUAAUAAAGAAGAUAGGAUAAUUCUAAUUUACUAGGUUAUGUUCGAUCUACAUCAAAUCAAGUUUUGAAUGGUGUUUGUUUCAUUCUACACCCUCAUUCAUAUAAUGUUUAUGAUCAUAAACCUAAAAUGCAUAUAGAUCUUCUUCUUGUGUCUGCUCGCGCUCAAAUGUCUAAGUUAGCUGAGGUUUUUACAUAUAGAGUUCCUGAUUUGAAUGUUGAGAUUAUAAAAUGAAUUCCAACAAAUAAUGAACAAUACAAACUUCAAGCUAAUUUAUAUAAGUAUCAUGAUGCAUUUAAUAUUGGAGAUUAUUUCAUAAUACAGAUUAGACUUGAACAAUAUCCUUCGGAAACCAAUCAAAAAUUACAUGUUACUAGUUCUAAAACAUCUAAAAUGUUGCAAAUGGUUGAGUCAAAUAUUUAUGUCAUUAACCUACCAUCAAACUUUAAUAUUGGCUCUACUUCUAAUAUAAAGAACUUGGUUAUAUAUAAAUGACAACAACAUAUUCAUGAUAAUCCUUUUAAAACCUCAACUCCAUCACCUUUUUCAUUUGCACAGAAAAGAACAUAUUAAUGUUAUUUUGGAUAUACAAGUUAUUUUUACUAGAGAUGAUGAGAUUUAGCAUAUCCAAUUUUGUGAGCGAGAUGACAUGCUUGAAACUAUAAUUUGAUUACUAGAAAAACAUCAUAAUAGCUUGAUCUUUAAAAGCAUUAUUGAAGUUAAUCUUGAACUCCACUCAACGAGAUCAAGUUCUUCCCAACUUCAUAGAGUUGAUGAAGACUCUUCACUUCCAGUAUGAGUGUAGUUUAAGAUGACAAUCCUAUUUUUUUAUUUAUUAAGCUUGAUUUAAUUAUUGUUAAAUAUUUUAUUUAGGAAACUAUACAAGCCCAAUUGCAGUUGUGUAGGGUUUGCUCUGUGUUUCUUUUUGCUUUGUGGGCAGCUUCUUGUUGAAUUAAAGAAAAAUUGCAGAGUUGCAAUUCCCCCCUCUUCCCUAGCUUUUCUCGGUUGAGGAGAAAUUCUUUUUUCAGAGACUCUAAGCACCUUGCAGAAAGCCUUUUGUACAGAUAACAGGUCACCAGAAUGUUUUUCAGUGGCAAUUUCAAUGAGUCUUGCCACUCGUUGUACAGAUUCAGGCCACCAGAAUGCUCUGCGGAGAGGCAAUUGAACUAUAAGUUUUGCCUAGGUCAGGUCCGGAUGCUGGCCAUCCAUACGAAUCACGAAUGCAAGUUGCGCAGCCCAUCAUGCAUGAUUUGUACCGAUAGUUAGAAUCCGUGGUUACAUGCAGCUGCAGUAGUCUGUAGCAAACCUCUUACAAUAUGUAGCUGUGUGAGCGGCACGAGUGGCAGGUUUGUGAACUGUAACAUCUGCCUUGACUGUUCGAAGAAUUUUUUAUUCUUCUUUCAUUACCACUAUCGUGUCAAUGCUGCCAGAUGAUAAGCUUUUAGCUUAGACAAUGACAGCUCAUUUUUCUAAAACAGAAACAUUCAACUCAAAAUUUAUAGAAUGUCGAAUGUGCAAACAGAUAAUUCACAUACCCUAUAGCCUCUCGCACCCCCUGUUUUGGAAAAUAUCUCCAUACGCAAGGCUCCAAGCCUAAUUUCAGCAUAUGAUACGCCAUGACUAGUAUCUUAGCUCAAGGGCUACAACUCCAUAUUACAAUAAACGAGCAAUUAUUGGAUUUACCAUUCUGAAAGCGACAUUUUUAGUUUUGACGACAGCAAUUCCUUCUCAAACCUUUGCUUCAUCAAGAAAGGAAUACAUAAAAGGUAAGGGUGGCUACGAUUAAUCAAUCAUAGAACAAAGAAAAUUCACGGAUCACAUCUAUGACCAAAGGAAGCACAUGAAAUUUAAUUCAACCCGUCAUUGUAAUUACAGUAGAUGAAGGCAAGGGGGGUCUAGCAGCAAUGACAAAGGAGUAACAGCUCAUAAAAGUAUAAUACCUUAGAAGUAUUAUGACCACUUCAGAACUUAUCUAUGCCCACUCCAUCUCGAAGAACCUCAUAAGCCCCUCUAUCUCUGGUUUUCUUCAUCCCAGCUGUGAAGUUGAGCUUUGAUCCAGUAGAUGCAAUACAGGUCACUUUAACCCAAAUCAUCACUUUAGUCUUCAUCCCCUCUAUAUCAGCUAUUUUUCCUUUCUCCAAAUACCCAGUUACGGUGGUCAAAAAGCGCACAACAGAUGAGUCCUUGUAGCCGACUUCACAGAUUGAGGGAAUAAAGACAGUAAGCUUUCUCGUCUCUUCAUUGAACUCAUAGUUGGUGGCAUCACGAGGGAAGAUUCCUAUUGGCAAGUCAUACUCCUUAAGCAAAUCUGGUAACGGCUUUUGCAUUUUUCCUAUAUAAAUAGUGGCAUAAUGAUCAAAGUAGCAGAUAAAGAUGCAUUUAAGAGUUCUAAGUAGGAGAUUACUGCAAAACAAGAAGUUUCAACAAAAGGGAUCUUCAGAAUAUCAUAAUUUAGAUAACAAUGGCUCUGCAUGAUGAUGGGCUCUAGAUUGGAAACUUCCUGGACAUCUACUCAAUUUAAUCAACUGACUCAUUCCGAAUUCCAGCAGAUUAAAGCAACAUCACAGCAGAAUUUUAACUUAGCCUUCAAUCAGUAGCAAAUAAUUCAUAUUAAACAGAACAGUCGCAAAUUUACUUACAUUCAAGUUAUAGAUGUGUCAUUUUGAUGAGCUUCUAACUUCUAGUCAAGCUAUUAAAUAUGAGUUUUUCUCAUUGCAUUAAUUGGCCUCCAACUUCAAGGUCCCAAAUAGUUAGAAAACUUCAGAACUUCCCAAAAGGAAAUUGGAUUUAAAUCUAUGGGAACAUUUUUGACACGGGAAUCUUGAGAGAAACUUGGAGCUAUAGUGCAUUUGUUUGAGCACAAAUGCAUUACAGAACUGCAGAAUCAUCAGGAAUGUGGGAAAGAAAUAUAAGAAACAAAACAAACUAACUACAAAACACCAUGUGGCAAAACAGGAAAAAUAAAGCAAAUGAACAAGUCAACAAACCUUUGAGUUUGUUUACCAACCAUUUGGUUCCACCUUCAAUGCUCGUUGACAAUGACUGGUUAAGAAGAGAAGGAUAUCAGCACGCAAACUGUGUUAGUAACUGAGGUAAUGACAGCAGAGUUCAGAGGAAAGCAGAACGCACAAAAAGCAAUAAGCUCAUAUGAAUCAAUGAUUGUUAUGAAGGAUAAACUUAAUUAGAUUACGGUCCCACCUAGGAGUAAAAAGAAAAAUCAUUUCCAGUAUAUCUAACUAAAACCUGAUAAAAACCCAUAUUCCAUUUCAUUGUGCAAAAUAUUAUAAACAUACAAGAUCAUUUAACACUUCAUAAAGUCCAACUUCUACUCAUGAACUCUUUGAGAAUCGCAAUGAUACAAGUCAUGCUGUCAAUUGCUAAGUAAAAAUGUGAUAAGAUUAGACAUAUUUGCCUAGACUAGUUCUUCGAUCUUUAAUUCAGCAACAUCAUUGAGAAUCCCACAUGCUCGAUCAUUCCUUUAGCUGCUAAUCCAAACAUUAAGAGCAAUUAUCAGUAAUCUCAAGCAUUAUAAAAACAGGAACUAAACCAACUCAGCCAUCUUCAAUUUCCAUCAAAAGCUACCAUUCUUAAUCUGCUCUAGUAAAAAACCAAAACCCUUUAUUUCUUCUAUUAAUAUAUUUCCAAACAAACCCUAAAUUCUUUUUUUAUGUUUCUGAUAGUUAAUUGCAACAAUCAUUAUCUUAAUUCCAUUUUCACACCUGGAAAUUAUAAUUAAUCUUCAAAUCAUAACCUAAUCAACAAAGGAAGCAACUUGGUCGAACUUGUUAAUCAUCAAAAUGAAUUUAAGAAAACAAGAGGGAAAAACGUAUACGUUGAUGUCGUCGCCUACAGAAUUGAACUCCUUGCUAGCUUUCUGACCGAGCCAAUAAGAGCCAACCUUGUUCAAUACCGCAUCCAUUUGUGCUUUAUCUGUUCUUAGGAUCUCACACUGUUUUACGAUAUCUAUUAGAGACCGAAGCCAAGACUUCUCCCUCUCUCUCUCUCUCUCUGAAAAGCGGGAAUUUUUCUAGAGAGAGCAGGAAUUAAAGAGAGAGACGUGCAGUUAUCGUUGUUGCGAAGUAAUCUAUUAUCUUUUAGCCGCUAAGAGUUUGCCACGUCAACAUCGUGCCAUUCUUCCAACUGCCUGGUUUUGUCAAAGUAUUUUACCACAUCGCCCUUUUGAUUUAGGUUGAUUGAUUUUACUGUUUAACCGUGCUUUUUUAAAAAAUAAUUUUUAUUUAAAUUAAUUUUUUAUAUAUUUUUGAAUUAUUUUUAUAUGUAAAUAUUAAAAAUAUAUUUUUAAAUUAAAAGUAAUUCUCAAUGUUGCCUUAUUAAAAAAGAAAAAUUUGAAUGGAUCAAAACGGUACAAGGUGAAUUACCACACAAUAAUUGUAAAACCGCCAUAAAGUAGCCAUUUGCCUAAGUCUUACUUAUUGAUUCCUUCAACUUAAUAUCUGAUCAUAUAGAAAAACUAAAAACAAUAAAUUAAACUCAAUUUAAAAUAAAUUCAGUUCGAAUCUAAAAAAGAUCUAGAUUUAUAGAAAUUGUAGGUGUAAUUAUGAUAUCAUGGAGUUAAUAUAAAAAAAACAAAUCACAAAAUUAAACUUAAUAAAUAAUUGUACCAUGCUUUAAAAAAAUAUUGUUUUUAAUCUUUUUAAAAUAUCAACAACCAAACAUAGAUCGAGAAAAAAGCCAAAUAAAUCUAAAAUUCUAAAUCAUACAAGGAAGAGAUUGUUUGUAAAGAAAAAUUUGCAAAUGCAAUGAAAGAGGAAUAAAAAAGCGAAUUUUCACAAAAGGAAAUGCAGCAUUCAUAUAAUGGAAAGGUUGGAUAACAUUAAAAAAAAAAAAAAGAUGUUUUCCAAACCAAAGAAUAAAAAUAGAAGAUUGGGCACUUGAGGUCGUGUGCUAGCAGGGAAAAGAAUUUGUUUUCUUUUUCUGUACUUGGAUUCGAUCCUCUUUGUACAUACAUAUUAUCCUUAUGGUGUCUUACCUGUUCAUUGGACUUGCAGGGUGUUCAGUGAGCUCGAUGAUUAGUCGUAGUGCGUAUAAACUGACCUAAAUAUCUCGGAUUAUAAAAAAAAAAAAAGGAUUGGAAAACACACUUUUUCAAUUUUCCAUAUAGAGAAUUUUAAAUAUGAACAAGAAACUCUCUUUUAUGUUUUUCUUUUCUCUUUUUUUUUUUUCUAAAAACAAAUUUGGAGUUUAUCUCCAAUACUAAUUACCAGCCCCUUAGUAUCUAUCCCAAAUUUAUUUUAUAAUUUAUCAAUUUCUUUCGUAGAUCUUCUUAAAAAACAAUAAUUAUAUUUUGUUUUCAACUUUAACUAUAAGUUAUAUUCAAUAAAAGCAUAGUUAUAUGACAUCAUCUAGGAAUUGAUAUGACUCGAAGUUUGGGUUGCUCGAGUGUUAAGAGGAUUGAUUUAAGUUUACCCAACAUUUGACUUUUUUUAGAAUAAACCUACCCUAGGCAAAGGUUAUCGAGAUGAUCCGUCGAGCAUGACUAGGGAUAAAAGUAUAGUUACUAAAGCCAAGCCGGUAAUCCACCAGCAAGGCUAGGUUUUAUAACCAGGGAUAAAAGAAUGGUUAUCAACGUUGGCCUAGUGAUGUGUCGACUAGGGGUCUAAUUUGAGUCGGGUUUGCUUUUAUGUUGCCUAGAAAAUUCACCUAGUCACAAUUAAGAUGAGAUUUGACCAAAAAAAUUUUGUUUAAAAUAAAAAAGUUUUAGUUUCUUAAGAAAAAUUAUUCAAAACAACUUUAUCGUAUUAAAAAAAAUAAUCUUAAGUAAACUUAUGACACACAUGAAUUGACUUGCUUAAUCUGCUACCCAAAUUUUAAAUUGAAUCAGAUUUUAAAAAUGUUCAUACAAAUCAAUGAGUUUGAGAACAAGAUUUGAUGGCAUGAAUUGCAUGAAAAAAAUAGGUUAACUAAACAUGUAAAUUUUAAGUUAAAUUGAAUUGACAUAUCUAUAAAACUAGUGAUAUUUGAUAAUAUAAAUUUAUAUUCUUAAAACAUGUAAAUUAUUCAAGUAUGAAACAAAAUACGAGGCACAUGAAUUCUUGUUUUAAUUUUUUUCAAAUCCAAAUUUGUGAGGUACUUCUUGAAAUUCAAAAGGAUGUAAGCUUUAAUUACCCAUAUUGAAAAUAUACCCAUAUAGAAAAAACUACUACCCUAAAAGGUAGAAAAAGGCCUCGCAUCUUCUGCUUCUGUCUAGUUACUCUCCAUUCCUAGCUAUAUCAAGGUUUAUGCUUUGGACAUAGAUAAUAUAUACUCGAAGAUGUGACAAAAAGAAAGGAAGCUACUUGGAAUUUAUAAUUUUCUCAUCGAUAAUUCUAUCCUGUACGUACCUAGAAAUACUUUUGAUAUUAAAAAUCAUCAGAAGUUCUUAAUUUCAUAUACAAGCUGGUUAGGGCUAGGUUGCCUCUUGCUAACCCAUGUUGAAAGGCAUGCAUGAAGGUUAGAUUCCAUUUAAGAGAAAUGUUGAUUUAUGAAGUUUUUUAUUAUUAAUUAUUAAUGUAAGUAUCUAGUUAAUUUACGUGUAUCUUAAUUAAUUUUAUAAGUCCUUAAACUAAUAAUUAUAUAAGUUUCUAGUAGUAAAUUUGAAUUUAUAAUUAAUAAAAAACAAAUUUAAAACAAUUUUUCUAACUCAAGUAAGAGCAUCCAUUAUAAAAUUAAGCUGCCGGGGCCCCUUCACUUUUGCCUGUCCUACAUCAAAUUUCAUUUGUGACAAACGGCAUAUAAUAUCAGUCACAUGCCUUUCCCCCCCUACCUUUUCAAUAAUGGAUAUUCACACAUAUGAUUAAAAGUUGAAAUGAUAAAUUAAUGUUUGAACCUAUUUGAUAUUUACUGUGUUAUUAUUCGAUGUUGUGCUAAUACACGCAUUGUAUCAAGAUUUAACAUUAAACAUUACAAGACUUGUCCCCGUUCCCAAAUAGAAGUCCAAUGAGCUAAGUUUAACGUGAGCAUGUCCCACUUCAUAUCAUUGGAAAUUUUGUGUGUUUUUGUUUAUGAAAAAUCAAAUAUAGUACAACUACUUGUAAGCUUAUUAAAAAAUGUCUAAAUUAAUUAUUAGUAGAUAACCCAGUGCUAAUAGUUUGGAACCAAGGAGUUUGCUCACCAUGUGGUCUUAAGUUCGAGCCAUGUGGUUGCUAAUAUGAUGGUCACUGGAAGCUUACAUGGUCGUUAACUUCAAGACCCGUGGGAUUAGUUGAGGUACACGCAAGCUGACCCGGACACCCACGUUAAUAAAAAAAUAUCUAAAUUCCCCAUGUGGUCUUAAGUUCGAGCCCUGUGGUUGCUAAUAUGAUGGUCACUGGAGGCUUACAUGACCGUUAACUUCAGGACCCGUGGGAUUAGUUGAGGUACACGCAAGCUGACCCGAACACCCACGUUAAUAAAAAAAUAUAUCUAAAUUAAUGUUAUCAAAACUUGAAAAAAAAAAUUAUAAGCACUAUAUCUCAUCUCAAUCUUAUUAUAUUUGUGUAAACAUUUAUCCAAAUCUACAAAAACAUGUGUUAUAGUGCAGUGCUGAAUUAGAUAAAAAUAAUUGAUAUUGAAAUAUAACAAAAAUAAAAACUUACGCUUUUAUUUCAUGACAUCCUAUGGACUCAUGGUCUCUAUCCUGGUGUGGGCUAUAGUUUGUAUGGACCUUGUCUCGUGUCUCAUGCUUGUGUCGAGACCAUAUGAAGGACAAAUCAUAUCAUGGGCCUGAUCAUGGACCCCAAACUGGGCCUACGUUUGGGUUGAACAAUAGUAUGCAUGGGAUGGCCCAAACAUUAAGGGUGCUGGAACAUGGACCCGUCAAGUGUUAUAAAAAGUAGUUGGUGGGUGGGGCCCAUGAUUUAAAACACAAAGAUUGUCUUGUAAAAUAUUUUUUUAUCUCUUGAAAAUCGUAAGUUGUUUUUCAUGUUAGGAAUAAAAAGAGGUGGUUGUAAUCUAAUGCAGAGAAUAAGCACGUGGGUUAUUCUCCAUAAGGAAACUAUUCAUUCUCUAGGAAAGAACCAACCAUGCUAUUCUACUGCAGUCAUUGUCAUUCUGCAGUACGUAGUCCUAGUUAUUACAGAGUUGUUUUAGUUAAUGGAAUUGUGAUUCCUAUUUUCUUGUAAUAUUUACUUUAUUAUUUCCAAGCAUUGUAAGAAAUAAUUCAGUUGAAUAUUAAAUGUAAUUAAACAUUUUCUUUGCUAAUUCUCGACAGAUUAGCUUGCUUCUUGUUUAUGUUCUAGAACUAUUUUAUUGUUUUAAACUCUUUUUUCCCUUUUAUCCUACCAUGUUUCAUCAACUAAAUCUUUUUAUAAUUAUCAAAUAUAUAUAUAUAUACAUAUAUAUUCUUUUUUGUUAAUCACAUGUUGAAAUAUAAACGAUAAUGACGUGCAUGCAUAUACAUGACUGUACGUAGAGACUGUAGAAUACCUGGGAAAUUGAAUUUGACGGAUAAAUAAUUUUACAUUAAGUUGGUAUUUACAUAAAUGAAUUAAUAUAAUUAAAACCAUAAAAUGUUAAAUAAAUAACAUAAAUUAAUAAAUAAAAAAAGGAUAUUAGUUAUUUAGAAAAAAAAAUAAAGGAAAUACAUUUCUCAAGGUGUAGUAACUGCCAUCGUCAUGACCGCGUUGACCAUGUUAUAAUAUUUUUCUAAAAACCAUAUUUUAUUGAAGCAUCUUGUAUUAUCUUUAAAAUAACCUCUGCUAUUUUUAUUUUUCCAUAGGAAGGUUUGGGGUUUACAAAAAAAAAAAAAAAACAACAAAAAAUGCUUAUCAAGACAAAGCUCAAUAAGAUUGAAGAAAUUAGGUUAUAGGUUUUCAAAUAUAAAGGUCUGAGUUAUAACUGAAUUUAAAAUAUAGGGACUAAAUAAAAAUAAUUUGCUCACAAUUAGCAGCGACUCCUCGUCGACAUUUAACAAAAUCACCGGUUAUGUGGUCCAUUUAUACCGAGCAUCGAUCAUCGUACCUUCUCUUCAAUGAUGCUAUGUAAUGUCAUAGUAUGGUUAAUUUAUUCUCCUUUUUUUUUGUUUGUUUCCGGAAGAAAUUAACUGAAUCAUGCACGCAUUCUCCUUUCAAUAUAUAGUGCUGGAUACAAUGUAUCCAAUGCCAAACAUAUAAUAAAUAAAUAUAUACAUACCAAUAAAUUAUAUAUUUAAUUUAUUGAUAUUACGGACACCACUUGCGUAAACUUUUUGUAUGAUUCUCUGAGGAAAUAUUUCAUAAUAUAUAUUGCUUCUCCAGGCGGAAAUGAAAUGAAAAACAGUUUGAAGGCACGCCCAAAUUAAUCUAAUAGUUUUCAUUGGAGCUUACAUCCCCAUAAUUAAUUAAUCGUGUCAAACAAUGAAUAAAUAUGUUUAGGCAGUGGACUUCUCAGGUUGUUUAUUGAUUAGAAUAUAAUUAAUUUUGAUUAUAACAAACUAGCUAGCUAGGCAUUGAAGUGGUCUCAUCGUUAUAUAUACAACAACAACUAGCCAGCAACCACCAUAGUUGCAGGUGUUUUAUAAAUACCAAGUGGAAAGAAGCCGGUGAGAUUAGGGAAUAUCUAGAGCGGAAUAAGAUUAAAUAACCCUAGAAGAAACAAAUCUUGAUACUUGUUCGGAAAGAAAAAUAAGAGAAAAGAAAAGAAAAAACAAGUGGGCUAAAGUUAAUUUGGAAGAAAGUGAAGUGGGGAGAUAAUUAAGAAGGUUCAAAUUAAUUAAUCUCUGAUAAUCACCCAUGAUCAGGCAUUGAACAAAGGCAUUAAUUAAUGCCACUAUGCUAAUCCCACGACCCAGAUAUUCAUGGGUCCCAGACCACUAGCAUGCAUGCAUGGCAUGGUAGCUGAGGAUCAUGUGCUAAAGGGGUCCAACUUGUUCUUGUUUACCAGCAGAAAAAGGCGUCCAAGUUUGGUUCUUUCAGAGUUUGAAAACAAGACACAAGAUAGAUAGGGUCACGUUAAAGCAUCAUAAAGUGAUAAAAGAAACGGUAAAACAUCUUUGGCGGGGCAUGGAAUAGUAAGCGUAGCUGGGAAGCUAGCAUGUUAGGGUUUGGAAUUCGGUUGUUUUUUAAAAUAUAUUUAAAAAAUAUUUUUUUAUUUUUUUUAAAAUAUUUUUAUAUGAAACAUCAAAAUAAUCUAAAGGUAUUAAAAAAUAUUAAUUUAAAAAAAAUACUUUAAAAACAAAAAAAAAAACCUUGAAUAAUAUAAACAGUUAAACAUCCCCAGCUUAUUGGCGCCGUAGUCUGUGUCUGUACAAAAGAAAAGGGCCUAUCCUAUCCUUGCAGCAAGUGGAUCGUCCAUUUGAAGCGAGUUUGUCAAUUUGUACUUGAAUAUCUACUGGCUAGAUUCACAAAGCUGCCAUAUGCUUUGGCGAGAAUAAAAAUUAGCGAGGGAGUGAAAAUGACUAGAGCCCUUGUGCAUGGGAAGAUGGAUGAUUGCUUGCCCAAUCGCCUGGGCAUUGUUAGCAGAGCUAGCUAGCUGUUAGGGCUCUUUUUUCUAUACGGAGAAACAGCAUCCUGAACCAGCUUGAAACUUUUGAUCAACUAUCAGUUUCAAAUGGACCGCUUACCUAUUAGAACAUGUUUGUUUCGAGAAAGUAAUUUUAAAAAAAUUAUUUUUUAAAUUUUUUUAUAUUUAUUUGUUAUUAGAAAAGUUGUUCAACGAAAAACACUUUCCAGUCAACGAAAAAUAUUUUUCAGUCAACGGAAAAUAUUUUCCGGUCUAAGAAAAAUUUGGUUUGAUUUCCAGGAAAGUGUUUUCCCUUUUAGCCGUGUUUGUUUUCCGGAAAGUGAUUUCCUGGAAAUCACUUUCCAAACUUUCAUGUGUUUGUUUGCCAUUAGAAAAGUUGGUCAACGGAAAACACUUUCCAGUCAAAGAAAAAUUUGGCUUGGUUUUCAGGAAAGUGUUUUCCUGGAAAAUUUAGGCGGAAAACACUUUCCGGAAGUUGUGAAAAAUUUAGAAAUGUCAUUAUUUGCUGAUUAUAUCAAAUUUGAUCCUCAAACUUUUGAUUGUUAUAUAUAAUUUGUUUUGAAUAUUUAUUUUUCAAUUUCAUCUCUUAAAAUUUAAUUUUUAUAUUAAUUUUGGUCCUUAUUUUUAUAAUUGCUAUUUGCUUUUUUCUUAUCAUUUUUUUAUUGAAAUUUUUUAUCUAUCAAAUUUGGUCCUUAUUCUUUUGAUUGUUACUUAUUUUAUUUGAAAUAGUUUAUGAAAUGUUAAUUAUUAUUAUUUUAAUUUCUUUAUUUUUUAUUUUUUUUAAAUUUUUUAGAUUUGAUCUCUAUUAUUUUGAUUAUUAUUUAUUUUAUUUGAGAUAAUUUAUGAAAUUAUAUUUUUUUUUCAAUUUCAUUCUUAUUCAACUUUUUAAUUUGUAAGAUUUGUUCCUCAUUAUUUUAAUAAACUUGAGAAAAAUAAAACAUUAAUAAGUUAUUUUCCAGUUCAUUUCCCAUGACAUAACCAAACACUGGAAAGUGUUUUCCAACUUAUUUUCCAUUACACUACCAAACAUCGAAAAAUACUUUUCCGGAAUUCACUUUCCAAAAGAAAACUACUUUCCAGCAAACGAACGGAGCCUUAAAAGCUCUUCAUGGCAUUGGUUUCGAUUAAAAACUAUGGCCAAUUUGAGACAAAUAAUCGCAUUGCCAUGUUAAGUUUGUACCUUUUUAAAAAAAAAUUCUCAAUGCUUUUUAAUGUAGAUGUUCGGGUCAGCUUGCGUGUACCUCGAUUAAUCUCACGGGCCCUGAAGUUAACGACCAUGUAAGCUUUCAGUGGUCAUCAUAUUAGCAACCACACGACUCAAAUCUAAAAUUAUAUAAAAAGUAAAUCUUUUAGUUCAAAACUCUUACCACUAAAAUACUUACAUAAGAUUUUCAUAUUAUCAAGUACAUUGAAAUCUAAUUAAAAUUCACGGCCAACACAUAUCCCAUAUUUUCAUAAUACCCAUGUGCCAUCAAGCAAUUAUUGUUAAAAAAAGAAAAAAACAUACAUGUAUUAAUUUGGAUUUGCUGGAAAGUCUUCAUAAAAUGUUUUAUCGUAAUUUUAGGACAUUUUAGUGAUUCGAUUCGAUUCAAUUCAAUUCAAAAUCAUGGCUACUUUGGUAAUUUAAACACACCAAGUAGGCACUAUUUUAUUUCUCACAACAUGACAUUUUUUAUUAAACUACCUUCUCCAUAAGAAAAUCCAACGCAAUCACCCCUUCAACUCUCCCGAACCAUCUGCAAAACAUCACCAGCACCCUCCCGCCUCUCUCACCCUCCCGCCUCUCUCAGAGUUGGAAAAGUGAUCGAUAACUUCUCCUCCUCCAUCUCCUCUCUCCCUCCCUCUCUCAAUACACACACACACACACACACAAACCCUCCAAAAGUCAUUAAACCCUCCAAGAAACCAAAAACCUAAAAACCACAGUACCUCUCAAAAAACAUCACUACAAAAACUUCAAACAAGAAAUCAAAAAAUGCCUGCUAAUCCUCCAAAAUCAUCUCUUUUAAUCCAUAGAAUCAACAACACCACCAUAACUAACACAACCCUAAACACCACGAAUACAACCACCUCAACUUCAUGCCAAAAACGGUGGUCCCCUCUAACAUGCGCCACCAUCCCAGUUCCAGAAACCGUUUCACGCUAUCACGCCCACGCUGUAGGCCCCAACCAGUGCUGCUCUGCCGUGGUACAACAAAUCGCUGCCCCGGUCUCCACUGUAUGGUCUGUCGUUCGCCACUUCGACAACCCACAAGCUUAUAAACAUUUCGUCAAGAGCUGCCACGUCAUCCUCGGAGACGGUGACGUGGGUACUCUCCGUGAGGUCCACGUCAUCUCCGGUCUCCCAGCUGCUAAGAGCACCGAACGCCUCGAGAUCCUUGACCAUGAACGACAUGUCAUUAGCUUUAGUGUUGUGGGUGGGGACCAUAGACUUGCGAACUACAGGUCGGUUACAACUCUCCAUGCGUCACCCACAGGUAACGGCACCGUCGUCGUGGAGUCUUACGUGGUAGAUAUUCCGCCGGGAAAUACUAAAGAGGACACGUGUGUGUUUGUAGAUACCAUAGUUCGGUGCAACCUCCAGUCACUGGCACAGAUCGCGGAGAACAAGAAUAGACGCAAUAAUAAAUCAUCAUCGUGAGUGAUGAUAAAAUAUUUACUGUUACUCUUGUUGCUAUAAAUACAUUUAGGGUUUUUCUUUUUUCUUUUUACAAAUGGAAAUGUAUGAUUUGGUGAAAACACCUUUUUUGUGAGAAUCCGAUGUGGGUUUGCCAAUGAUAAUUUGAACACCCCAGUCUGUUGAUUUGUAUUUUUAUUGUUAUUAUUAUUAUUAUUAUUAUUUGUUUUUAAUCAUAGAUUUAAUUUUUGUUUAGCCCCAUUUUGUGUGAAAUAAUUUUUUUUUUUAUAAUGCAUUUCAUGAAAUAUUCUAUCAAUGUUGACAUAAUCACCAACAUUAGCUCCGUCAUCAAUAUCGGUGCUUGUGUCAAGUGUCAUUAUAAAGAUAAAAUAAAACAAUAAUAAAUAAAAUUUGCUUUCAUUGGUUGUUUUUUUUUGGCUGCCAUUAACGCCGAUGAUAGCUGUGUAAUAAUUAAAUAUCAUUGUUGUUUUUGGUGGGAUUAAUAUAAUAGUGAAAAUGGCUUUGGUGCGUGCAGAGAUAAUUUUUCUUCAAUCCUGAUCAGGUGGAUCGUGAUCGUGAUCGUGAUGUGUAAAAUCCGAUAAAAAAAAAUAUAUCACUUUUAAAAGAUAAUGUAGAGAGAUGACAAUAGUGCUGGACAAUUUUAUUCGGGUAUGGAUUACGACCCGAAGACUGUAAAAUCUGUCAGGGAUUAGAGAAGAAAUAAAAUAGCUUGCUUUGUUUAGAACAGAUUAAGAAACAAAAAACCGGAAAUCUGAAUUCCCAUUUGCCGACGGCCGUAAAAGGUGCAGCAACUUCCUUUAUAUAUUAUUAUAGUGUAGAUGCUAAACCUCGUAUGAGCAGCAAAAACAAGUAGCUAGUGCCUAGGUGUGAUAGCACGCAUGAUUCUGUUCCAAGAGAUUUUUAAUUAUGAAGAUGCGUUUACAUGGUACAUGGCGCACACAUGCUUAGCUGGGAUUCUUAUUGUUUAAACUUGGAAAAUGGGGUGGUUUUAGUUAAUACGAGGGACACCAUUUUAGUAAAAAUGGGAUUAGAGCUUGAUGAAGAUCUAAUUUACGAGGAAAACGUGCAUGGUGCCAGUUAACCAAGGAAAGGGACCAGCAGGUAGCAUGGGGUAAGUUAAAAAUAUAUCUGCUAUUAACCAAGGUUAGUUUAAUGAUGAAGUUUGUGUUUACUCCGUACUAAUUAUGAGUUCAAGUUUUUUUAGUAUAUAAUCAUUAAUUUUAUAUAAUUAUUAAUUUUAAAACUUAUAAAAUUAAUCUAGAUAUAUACAAACUAAUUCCGACACCUACAAUAAUUCAAAAAAAAAUAAUAAGAACUGAUAACCUCGUGCGGGAUCACUUCGCUUUCAUUCGACUCGCUCACUAAAUCCCAAGUAGUUUAUCAAACUUAAUACCUUAAUCAAUAGUUAAUUGGGAUCCCAUGAGCAAAUUAACCAAUUUCUCGGGGUCGAUUUCUGUCUUUUCCAAAGAAAUCGAAGGGUUUUGAGAGAGAGAGAGGAUCUUGAUGGGUUCUGUAUCCAUUGUUAUCUAGGAUAGAAAUCUCCAUUUCCAAGGGGGUGGAAGCAUAUGCAUGAUGCAUUAAAAUAAUAGUAACUUGAAGCAGGGAAUCAACCACCAUGAGCUGCUGCCCUGUCAAGCUGCAACUUGACUUUGAUAACUCAACAAACUGUUCAAAGAUUCAAGCAAGUUGCAAAUGUUUUUUUGCUGAGAGAGAGAGAGAGAUGGGUACAGCUUGCAUGUGAUCUCACUUUGAAUGAGAAAGGUUUUUUUCUUUCUGUUUUUUUUUUUCCUGCAAGUUGGAAUGCAAGUGGGGGCCGGGAGGAGCUUGCUUUUAAUGUUCUCAUGUACUAUUGUCUACUUUUGAAUGGCCUCACGCCACCCACUCCCUCUCUCCCUCUCUCCCCUUUGCUUAACUGAUCGCAUCACCACUCCAGAAAAACCUUGACUGCCAUUGGGCUGUUAAAGUCUGUCCCUUCAUUUACUGGCCUUUUCCAUCACUGUUGCUAUCGAACGAUGGACCAAAAGAAAUUGUCAAAAUUAUGUUUAAAAUCUAUUUAGAAUUUUUAAAAAUAAAAAAAUGAUUUGAAACCAAAACUUCGUGAAUAAUUUAUUAUUAGUAUUACCAUUUUCAUAUCAUAUAUAAUUAUUAAAAAAUAUUAAAACAUAAAAAUUUAUAAUAUUAUUUAAGAAUCAUGUCAAAACUAAAAAGUAAAUGAAUAUAUAUUAUUUUUUUGAAGUGUCAAAAUAACCAAAGAAAAUAAGAAAAAGAAAGAAAAGUGUUAUGCAGUUCAUCCGUCUCUUUUUUUUUAAAAAAAAAAGAUAAUGGAUCGUUUAUUAUUUUAACAAAAAUAUUCUCCCUCAACUCUCAAACCUGCUGCAACCUCUAAACUUAUAUAUACGUGUUAACUAACUAACUGAGUUACGAGAUGAAAAUAUUAUUAUAUGAAUUAAACAAAUAUAUUAACCUGUUUUAUUAUUUAAAAAAUAUAAAAAAUAUUAAUUUGAAAAAAAAAAUUAAAAAAUUUUAAAAGUGUUUUUUAUAUAUAUAAAAAAACCAUUCUAAUAUGGUUUACAACUUUACAUGAGAUUUUCAGGGAAACAAUUAAGAGAACAAAACAGCUCCUUUACUCGAAUCAAACUCAGAUCCAUUCCGACCAUAGAAAACCCAUUUCCUAGAAGACCCAUAAAUAGCAUCUGAGAAAAAAGCAAUUUCUUAGAUGAACAAUAUGACAGCCCCAACAACAACAUAAUUAGGUUUCAUACGCACAACUUACGAUUAUGGGGAAGCAGAAAUAAGCACAAGUGGAGCAUUGCAAUGAGGGCUGGUUUAUGAAACCACCACCAUCGACCACUUAAACUUCUUAUGUUGUCACGGUGCAACCACCUCCACAAAAAAAAAAAAAAAAAAAUAUUUCUAAUAACGCACUUGAGGGUCUAGCUGCUGUGGUCAAUCGUGUGACUUGUUCCGCCCCCGUCCCGGGUUCGACCCUCUAUGUGCACGCCUGUCACCCCCGCGGUGCCUUACCUGUUCCUGGGCUUGCAGGAUGUCCAGUGGGCCGUGGAGAAUAGUCGUGGUGCGCGUAAGCUGGCCCGAACACCCAACGUAAAUAAAAUAAAAUAAAAAUUAUUUCUAAUAACAACGAGGAGUGUAGUUUAAAUGUUUAAGUUUUGAGUUUGCUUACUAGAGUUUACCGGUUCAAAUUCCACAAAUCUAAGGGUCAUUGAAAAUUUACAUUAAUUUCAGGACCCGUGAAAUUAGUCGAGAUGCGUGUAAGUCGGCAUAUACAACCAUAUUAAUAAUAAUUAUUAUUAUUAUUAUUUCCAAGACGUUCCAGACAGUUUUACCUGUUCGAAGGAAUCAAGCGUCAACCUCAUUUCCAGCACCUUGCAGAGUAGAAAUAUUACCAGAAACCUCUAUGCCUGCAUGAUAAAGCUAAUAAUGAUGAUGUUCUUGGUGCUGAUAGAUUUUACAUGAAUUAAUAUAUAAUUACAAAUAUUUUACAAGUACAUGGCCAAAAAUGAGAGGGGUAUUUUGGCAAUCAAGGGAGACCACUCUUCUGUCUAUUGCUUUCAGGAAACUACCCAAAAAUCAGAUCCCACUUCCCCUAAUAUUUGAAAAAGAUUCAUGACAUUCGAUUUUCAACAGCCCUGCCCUUAAAAAACUUCAAAAAGGAGAAGGGGAAGAGAGAGAGAUUCUAAAACGAAGCUGAAGAUGGCAAAGAAGCAGCUGAAUGUUGUUUUUCUGUCUCAUGUUAUAAGCUAGGUUCCAUGCAAGUAUGCAACAGUAUUGCUGGAAAGGCUAAGGAACAAAAGGCAUACUCGUAGGGGAUUCAGGCCGGCCAAUGGGUUCUGUCUUGUGGACUCAGUGAUUCCUUCAGGGCUCAAAUCCAUGCACCGCUAUCUUCAAAGCUACUGUGAGUCUUUCUAUAUUCUUGUAAAUUACAGGUACCUUGACAACAACGGUUGAGAUGGCCGAGUUGGUCUAAGGCGCCAGAUUAAGGUUCUGGUCCGAAAGGGCGUGGGUUCAAAUCCCACUCUCAACAACACAUAAAUUUUAAAAGAGCCAGGCAGUCUUUUUGGGCUUCAGAAGUUUGGUUUUAUUAUUGAUCAGAAUGGGCUUGGGCUGGAUUUAAAAGAGUCCUUUGUUUUUAAUUUCAAAAUUUUUUUUUUUUUUUUUGGAUUAAUGGAUGACUGGACAUGGUUUGCAGAUGAUUUAGGAGGCGAGAUGAAAGUUCUUGAGAUAUGUUUACUCUUUGAGGCUCUAGUAUGGGUGAAAGCAGAGUAAAAAUCAUUUUCCUUGUUUGAUGAAGCAUCACCAUAUCUACCAUCUUCAAAAACUGAGAGGCCCUGAUCAACUGCAUCUCCCUCGUUUAAGAAAGUUCCUAUGUCUUCUGGGUCGCCAAGAAGACUCCUUGCUCGUUCCAUCUCCUCGCUGGAAACAGUUACGCAUCUUCUGGCACAUCAUCACUAAUAACCCCAUUAUUUUUCAUACCCACUUUCGUCCCUGAAAGCAAUAAAUCCUGCCACCCAAAUUCCCCAGAUUUUAGGUAUGAAACAAAGCGGUCGGGGUUUAUAAAUAAUUAUGGAGAAAGACGCUCCUUCAUCGUCUCCGAGGACAGAUAACGCUUUCGCAAUCGAAGAUUGUUUUAACGCAACCGAUUUCCCUAAUCCUGUGCGGAAAAUCGGUGCAUUUACUUUCUAUAGAAUCUUCGAACAUCCUUCACGCACACAAAAACACAGUCAUGUAAUGAACGCGUGUUUAUACACAUACUGAUACAGGUAUAUAUAUCCAUAUCGAAAUACCUUGGAGUAAGAGAUCGAUCGGCCAUGGAAGGGGGGUGAGUUUUGGAGCUGGGAGAGGGGGUUAGGGCUCCGCUUGGUUUAGGUUCGGGUUUCGCGUUGAUGAUUUGAAGGGAGACUUCCCAUCGGAAAUCUUUCCGGCGUGGGAGAGUAUUUGCCACGUCGAGAUUUUCAGUGUGAAAUUAGGGGUUCUGUUUUUUUCCUGUUGGGAGAAAUGAUGGUUUUUAGUGUGUGCGUAUGUUAAGAAGGCGGGAAAAAAUGAGAGUGAAUAUGCAUUGAUGACACACACAUGGGCUUGUGGGUUUCUUAGAUUGAGGUGUAGUGGGCUUAGAUUGUUGAGUAGGGCUGAAUUUCGGAGCAAUUUCAUGAUACUUAAAAAUAUUAAGUAAUAUACUCUAAAAGGCCAUGGAAAGCUAUUUCACUUUCCCAUCAUUAAUAUAUUAUAUUAUUAUAUUAUAAUAUAUACUAAAAAUUAAAUGAAACGCUAAAUAUUUUUUUUAAAAAAAAAAUUUUGUUCUUUUUUAAUGAAUUUUUUUGUUUGAUCCCGGGUUUGAUAGGUUAGUCUGGUUUGACGAGUUAACCCGGAUUUUUUUUCUUUUUAAUUAAUUUUUUUCAUUUAGUUUAGUUUGUUAAUAUUAAAUUUAUUUAUAUUUAAUUAUCAGACUUUCAUAACACGUAUCCCGGACUUGACGGGUUAACUCCGUUAAUUUUGGGUAAACCCGUCAAUUGUUUUUUUCUAUUUAGUUAUCAAGCUUUCAUGACGCGAAUCCCAGGUUUGACGGGUUAACCUGGUUUGAAGGGUUAACCUAGUUAAUUCAGAUUUUUUUUCUUUUUCUUUAUUAGUUUUUUUCUUCCUAUUGGUUUUUUUUCCUUUGUUUUUUCUUUUUAAUUAAUCUAUUUAAUUAUCACACUUUUAUGACACGACCUUAUAGUCAAACCCACAUCCAAUACUCUAGGGUCCGGUGUUGCAGUCAGGCUCACUUAAACUUAAGUCAUGUAAGUUUAAUGUUAUUAUUAAUAUUAUAAAUAGUAUUCUUGGGUCAAGCGUUGCAGCUAGACCCAAGGCUUUUGAGUAUAUCUUUGCAGAAAGACCUAACACUCUUAGACCUUAGCAUUUUUUUAUAUUUUUUAUGCAAGAAAAAAAAUUUAACCCGUGGCGUAUGCCUUUGUUUUUUCGUUUCCUUUUUAAGCCUUUUACUUUGAAUAGCACGGUGCAAUCCAUAGUAAAAAAGCUUAUGCUUUAGUUUAUUUUUUUUUGUCUAUAGUUUCUUAAAAAAAUAAUUUUUUAUGUUUAAUUAUCAUGCUUUCAUGACACGGAUCCCAGGUUUAAUGGUUUAGCCCAGUUGAUUCAGAUUUUUUUUUCUUUUUCUUCAUUAGUUUUUUCCUUCCUGUAGGUAUUUUUCUCUUUGCUUUUUCUUUUUUAAUUAAUCUUUUUUUUUUAAAUUAGUUCAUUAAUAUUAAAUCUUUUUUCUAUUUAGUUAUCACACUUUCAUGACACGAAUCUCAGGUUUGACGGGUUAACCUGAUUUGACGAGUUAACCCAAUUGAUUCAGAUUUUUUUUCUUUUUUCUCAUUAGGUUUUUUUCUUUAUGUUAGUUUUUUUUCUUUGUUUUUUUCUUUUUAAUUAAUUAAUUUAAUUGUUACGCUUUUAUGACACGACCUUGCAGCCAGACCUACAUCCAAUGCUAUUGGGUCUGGUAUUGCAGUCAAACCCACUUAGACUUGGGUCAUGCAAGUUUAAUAUUAUUAUUAAUAUUAUAAAUAUUACUCUUAGGUCAGACGUUGCAGCCAAACCCAAGACUCUUGUGUAUAACUUUGCAGAAAGACCUAACACUUUUAAAUCUUAAUUUUUUUUUAUUUUUUUUAUGCAAAACAAAUUGACCCGCGGCAUCGCGCGGGUCAUGUAACUAGUAAUUAUCAAUAUUUAUAGCAUAAGAAAGAGAUAAUAAAUUCUGAGAAAAAACGAGAGGGAAUUAAAAAAAAUUAAAUUUUUUUUUAUUAAAUUUAAUAGGUCCUAAAUGUGAUUUUCUUUUUUUCUUCUUGUGUUUAUCUUUCAUCCAUGUUAUAAAUAUUAGUAACUACAGCAUGAAAAUCAUAAUUUAUUUAUUUAUUUGAAAUUUUAGUAACAAGGAAAAUGAGUUCUACUUUUCAUUCCUUUUUUUUUUUUUUUUUGAAGAGAGUGGUUUUAUUUUGUUUCAACUUUGAUAUUAUAAAUUUCAAAAUUGUGUUACAUACAGAGCUUACUACAAUGUUGGGUAAAUGGCUAUAUAAUUGUUAAAAAAUCUGACUUUAAUUAAUAUAUUUUAACUAUUUCUUCACACGAGGGGUAUAACCCGUGACAACAUUGUGUUAAUCUCAUCAUUCUAGACAUAUUGUAUAAAAUAACAUUUUAUCUUUUAUGUCUUUUUUUUAAGUAACUAAUGUCCUUUUAAAUUUAAAAAUUAAAAAAUAUAUUAAAGGAGAGAAAUCACUAUAGCAAUUCACAACACUUUCUUUUUCAUUUUUGUUCUUGAACAUUUUUUUUUAAUUACAAUCUUCCAUGCCUAAUUUUAUUAUUGAUUUGUCAAAACCUAUUAAAAAAAUAGUAAUAUUUAGCAAUAAAGAACUAAGGUGUAAAAUAAGACGAAAUUCAUGGCUAAUCUUAAUUCAGAAGAAAAUUUUCUUUUUAGUCUAUCUACUUUUCUUUAUCUUACUCUACAACCCUUUUAGUUUUUAUAAUUUUAAUUUCUUCUCAAAAGUGCAUUUUCUUAACCUUUUAGUCCCUAAACUUGAGAGAUGAGACAAAAAAUGAUAAAGGAAAUAAAAAAUUGGCAAAUGAUCAUUUUUUUGGCAAUGCAAAUUGAUAUUUUUAGUGUUAAUGAAUUUUAUUUGAUGAGAAAAAUUUGAUGAUGGUGGUUUUUCUCUAUGCCUGAAAAACUAGACCGAGUUUGAUUUAGAUUUUUUUUUUUUGGUUAAUUUUUUUUUUUAGUGACUUUAUGGUGUUUUAGGGUUGCUAUGUUGUUUAUGGAGUGUUUACAUGGUAUUUUUAGGUAAGAAUAGCUUGAAAAUAAAAUUUUAAACAAAUAAACCCCUCCCCCUAAUGGUGGCUAAUUUCUAUGCUAACAUCUAAAAGGAAACAGGUCGUUUGUCAUUGCAAGUGACCUGUCAACUACUUAAAAAACAAAAUUAGGAAUAGAUGAUGCUUUGUCAGCUCAUGAGACAAAAAUUCAAAAACCUAAGUGUGUAUAUUGACUUCUAGGCCCAAACAUUCAUGGGUUUUUUUUUUUUAUUAAUGUAAGGUGCAUGGGCCUAGCCCAUUAGCAUCUGACCUAUUUUUUAUUUUUAUUUUUAUUUUUAUUUUAUUCUUUAAUAUUUGAUCGGAUUUUGAAUUAAACUCUAUAAUUUAUUUUGGUUUUUUUAUAGGUUUAUUAUGAAUUCUAACAAACAACCUGAUAUUUGAUUGGUGCUUAAUUUGUUUUUUUUAUAUAUAUAUUCUCUUUUUUUUUAAAACAAAUAAGGUUAAAUUGCUCCAAUCUUCUUUAAACUUAAAGUUAUUUGAGAAUUAGUUCAUAUAUUCUUAAUUUAAAUUUUUAAAUUUUUAUACUUUAUUAGAUUUGAAAUUAAGUUAGUUUAUUACUUUUUUUCAACCAUCCCUCCAUGUUUUGCAUAUAAAACGAACAAGGUGAUUUAAAUACUCUUGACUUCAAUAACCUUUAAUCUAACUAAUCAAUUUUAUUUUUUUUAUUGAAUUAAUUAAAUUUUAGAAUUAAAUUUAAUAUCAUAGUUUUAAUUCUCCAUCUAGAAAAUUUGUUUAAUUUAGACAAAGAAAAAAGGGUGUUUAGGCUACUAGUUUUAAAGCUAGUUAAAAUCAAAAUAUUUAGAAGGAGAAUUAAAAUCAUGAUAUUAAAUUCUAAAUUUAUUUAUUUUAUUUUAAUUAAUCAAAAUUAGUUCUAUUUAAAAAAUAAAAAUAAUUAAUUAGAUCGGAUAUUAUUGAUGUUGAGGAUAUUUAGUUUAUUUCAUUAGUUUUAUAUUGAGAAUCUAAUAAAAUGAUAAAUAGGAUACACAACAGCUUCUUAAAGAUAGAUUCAAUGCAAUUAAGCAUUGAAGGAUAAAUUGACAAUGCCUGAGUAUCAUGGCUUGAUUUCAUCAAAAUGGAAACUUGAAAAUAGUUGUACCCCAUGAAAGUGAAUCCUUUUGAACUAUUCACCGGAUUGAUCCAGCCUAACCACCUUGGUCACUGGCCCGGCCCAGUGACCAAGCUGGCCACGGUCGGCAAGCAUGCGUGAAUUCACGCAUGCUUGCUACAGGAAGUGGGUAAUACCUAGCGUAUCAGCUGGAGAUGAAGACGUGAGGCGAUCAUGCCUGGUCAGGCAAUCCUCCUCUCCUCCCCUCUGUUUCUGUCAGCUUUGUCUCUCUUUGGUCUCUCUCCUCUCCUAUGGUUUCUGUUUCUCUGGUUUGUCCUCUGUUUUCUCAUGGUUUUUCGUCUCUGUUUUUUCUUUGGUUCGAUCGGGCGAGUCAAUACGAGAUCCUUGCUUCUGUUUUGUUGCUGUUUUCUAUUCUUUCCAUCUCUGGUUUUUAGGUUGUCUUCCUCUGCUCUCUGGGUUUUCUUCCUUUUCUGUCUCUCCGUUUUUUCUCUAUUUUUUUCACCCCCCCCCCCCCCCGCUCCAUGGGUUCCUCUGCUUUUAUAGGCCACCCUGAGUGAAAUUCGAUCCUUAUCUUCCUGGGAUCAUGAUCUUGUAUGAAGAUAAAAUUGUCCCUGUGUUUGGUGGGAUUAGGACACCAACAGUCUUGCCAUUGUUGGACUGUUAGUGAUGGGUUUCCUUAAUGCCAGAGGCGCAUCGUGGGGGCGAAGGAGACUGAAUCAAUUUUGGGAUUUGUGGUAGACCAUUUGGUAUACAUUCUGGCUUGGAUUUGGUGAGAUGAUGGGGUCUAACAAAGGCCAUCGUUUUUUUGUCCAGACAACUUCCUCUGUUCCAGAGGAGGAACAGGAUGAACAAUCCUCCAUGGAGCGACGUCAUUUCUUAAGCUGAAAUGGGCAUCUUCAGUUUGCCCCUGAAGUUCUGAUGUUUUGCAAUCAAGUUCUUGCUUUUGAAAAUCUUCUAUUUUUUAUAAUAUCACAUCUAUUUAUUUUGAUUUCUGAAAUUUAAUUUCUUAUAAUUUUAAUCUGAAUUGACCUUAUACUUUGAUAUUUCUUCAAUUAAACCUCUAAUUAUAUUAAUUAAACUAAUUUAAAAUUUAAUUAAGCUCUUAAAUUUAUUAAUUCUUCUGAUUUUUUGUCAAAUUAACUUCUAACUUUAUAAUUUCAUCCUCAUUAGCCUUCAAAUCUUUAAUUUAUAUUGUCUUGAUCAAUUUCUUAAAUUAUUUUAUUUAUUUUUAUUAUUUUUUGAAAAUUCAAAAUUGGUUCGGACAAAGAUAUCCAAUUGAACAUCUGUAUAAUAAUAAUUUAAGUGCCUUAUCUUUAUAUUAUAAUCUCAUUCCUCAGCUUUAUCUAACAAAUCCAUUGAGAUAUUAUAUUAAAGUAUUAGUCUAACUAGGAAUCCUUGAUAAAAAAAAAAAACAUUAAUAUUAGAAUUCUUAUUUAACUAAUAAAUUAGAAUUUUUAAUAAAAUUAUAAUAGUUAGAGAUUGUAAUCUUUUUUAUAAAUAUAAGAGCCAAUGUAUAUGUGUGUUUUGAAAGGUGUGUGAUCAAUCAAUAAGAGCUUGGGAGGUUCAAAUGUUUUACGUGUUUUAGUUUUUAACAAUUGAUACCAAAGCUUAAAUUGAUUAAAUGAAUAAAGAUGCCAGAAAAAUUCUUGGCAACAUCAAGAAAAGAGUUCUUUUGCAGUUGCAGAAUCUCAGCAAAGGCAACAAGUUCGCUUCCAAUAUAGUAAAAUAGCCACAAAUUGUCGUGGUAGCAAGUUAGCAACUUCAAAAUCACAGCAAAAAUUCCUCCCUUUACCGAGGCAAUAGCAACUCUAACAAAUUAAAUCAUGGCUUCCGAUAAUUUUGUUCAACUUCUCAUUUCACUAUUUAAUGGUCACUAUAUUCAUCGAGGAAUGUUAAUGGGGAAUUUUUUAAGAUUGAUAAAGUAUUAAUAAAUUUUUUUUAAUAAAUAAUUGAAUUAUCGUUCAUUAAUAAUAGAUACAUAAAAAAAAAUAUAAAAACACAACGAUUGAAAGAUUUCAAAACAAAGAAUUAUCUUUUCUAAUUAAUUCACUAAUCAAUCUUGAAAAUUAUUUUUUGCAAGGAAAAGUCUAAGGAUAAUUGGAAUCUGGUGAAAAAAAAUACCAAUAAAUAACUAAAGAGACAACAACUUCAAACACUUCAAAUGAAAUUUGAAUUGUUUGACAUGAUAAGAGAAAGUUAACCAUAUAUUAUUUCUCAUGAAUAACGACAAUCACUUUAAACUUUGUGAUUAAUGACCAUUAUGAAAAAAUUAUUCAUUUUUCUAACACCAAUCAAAUCAUUUUUUGAAAGUAAAGUUCUUGAUACAUUUCUCUCAAAUACAUAGAAAAUUCAUGGAUUGAAAUACUUUCAUAUUCACAUGAUGUAUCAUGUUUUUUGAACUUAAACACUUGAUUUCUAAAGCUUUUAUUCAUGCUAGUUAAAAAGGUAGUCAAUAUAGGUAAUAAGUAGCUAGAUAGUCCGUAUUACACCUCGGACGAAGCCAAUACUUUUCACAAUAUAAUAAAAUGAUAUUCGUAUGACAUUAAUGUUUUCAAAUAAAUAAAAAAAUCUAAGAUUAAGACAAUUGAAAAAGACUAUCCGCAUUGUCAUAACAACAACCCGAAAAGCAAACUAAAAAACUAUUAUAAAAUAAGUAUCUCAUGUUUAUAUUUAAUCAAUUAAUUUAAUUUAAUUCAAUUCAAAAACAAAAUUGUUAUAAAAAAGCUAAAGUCAACCUGUAUUUUUUUCAGAACGAAUAGAAAAUUUCAUAAGAAGCUAAAAACAAAAAGCAAGAAAACAUUUGAGAAUGAGACCAAAAAAAAGAAGGGAAACAAUUAAGCAAAUUUUAACAAACCUUCUAAACCCAUGUAAUUUUCUAAUAAAAUAAAUACUAAUAAAAAAAUAGGAAUUAAGUCCGAAGAAAAAAGCUAAUUGAAGGGUUGCAUUGAUUAUUUUUAGGGUAGGAUAAAAAGAAAAGAAAAACAAUAAAGAAAUGGUUAUUGACUGCGAAUCGAAAGUGAUGAAGUUACAAAUGUUGUAUGGAGCUAUGGGCAGGUAGGAACUAUUGAGAGGAUUCUAUCACAGGCUUGAAAGCCACUAUUUAGCCAAGUAAACUCGCCGCACGCGCCACCACAACAUUCCUAGUUUUUUUAAAAAAAAAUUGUUGUUAAAUAAAAUACAAUCGUUAAUUAUGAUUUCAACGUUUUCAAGUGAAUGAUCAUGAAACUUUGUUUUUAAUUAGUAACAUUAGUAGAGCCAGACGACCCGUCACAAUAUACAAUGGAUAUCACGAGUAGAGGAGAGAAAAAGGAAUACACUUGAGGAUCCGUUUCAAUAAUUUGUUUUCCCAAUUAGAAUCGGUGGCUUAGUCACAAUCAAGGAGGGUCCCUUACAAGUUACAACACAAGGACAGUAGGUAGACCAUAUAAUCACAAGAUUCCGUGCGCAGAUUAAAGAUUUGGGCGUCUGGGAUUACUCCUACUGGGACAAGAUGAAAAUAAAAAUGAAAGAUAUGUCGGGGCCUACGGACAAAUCAUAUCUACACAGUAAGACGACACAUCACCUUGACUUUUCUACUCUUCAGGCAUGGUCAGCUUGACUUACUAGUUUUGUCCCGCUGGUCAGGGAAUAAAUUAUACCAGACGGUCGAAAUUCGGGAAUUCUUUAUUUUUCGAGCCAUUUUUUUUUAAUGCUGCCACCCACUUGCCUAGUGCCAUUUUUAUUUCCCAAGGCAUCAAUCAGCUGUCCAAUUUCCGAUUUGUACUGUUCGUUUUUUAUUUAUUUGUAUAAAUGUUAUGAAGAAACAAAUGAUUAUUGGUUAAUUAACUAGUGAUUAUUAGAUCACGAGAUGAAUUACGUUGUACAUUGAACAUAAGUUAACGAACUGUAAUGUUUUUCCUGUUUCUCAAAAUGCUGAAUGCAUGCUGUCCAAACAAUCAGAUUUCGCUUGUUUUAACCUUUUUCGUUUGUUGAUCUUAUAUAUAAUUAGUAUUUAAACAUUGCAUCUAGCAUAGAUUUGUGCCGUAGGUGCUAGCCAAUAGCCAUUAAGCGUGCAGCUAAGGCUUGAGAGGCAAGCCUCCGGCCCCCACGUGGUGUAUUUAGAAUGAAUCAAAGGAGCUGUGAUGUGACCACCACGAUCACAUAAUAAUCUUUCACAGAGACUGGCCUUGCCGUCUCCGGCUGGGCUUCGGCUUGCCCAUCAUCACAAAUGCUUGGUUUCCUUCUUUUUAUAAUUCUCACCCGACUCCACUAUUAUAAUUUAUGUUAUUGAAUAACGAAAAAGGAGGAAUCUCUCCUUCAUGAUAAUGGAAGAACAUGGGAGCAACAAAACUUUUUCUCAACUUAAUAGGAGGCAAGAAACAUGUGAACAAUGGGUGUUUAACAGCGGCACUGGCUUCGGUCCUCCGAGAUUAUCCAAUAAGCUAGUGUACAAGAAAAGGAUUCGAGAUCAAUCAUGGCGGAUUUGCAACUUCCACCCAAGACAGAAAUACUGGCGAGAAACAUGUUUUUUGUGUAAAUUUUAAUUUUAAUCUGUCCGAUUGAAACCGGGACGGUGUUGAUUGAUUGUUUCCAAAUGCCGCCGAGAAAUUAUGAUAAUUUCUUGCAUUAUUCUCAUCACUAAGAAUAUUAUUAUGUCAAUUCUUUUAUGGGUUUGAAAUUAGAUGGCAGUAGUUAAGGUGACCGUGUUGUGUUGUAGAUGGGAUUUUAAGUUAAUUUUUAAUAAUAAUAAAAAUGUUAGCAUUAUAGAUAUGUUUUAUAAAAUCAUGAAUUUUAUUAAUUGAAAAACAAAAAAAAUAAUGUAUGUGCUUGAUAAAUGGAUUCAAAAAUAUAUUAUUAUGUCAAUUCUUUUAUGGGAUUAAAAUUAGUUGGCAGUAGUUAAGAUUUAUAUUAUUACUUAACACACUUUCUCAUCUAAAAAUAUUUUGUGCUUGAAACUUACACAUGCUCAAGGACUACUUGACUACCCAGCAAGCUCCGGCUCGAAAGCAACAAGCAACUCAUUGAGCUUAGGCCCUCAUUCCAUGCUUUUGUAUGCGGGGUGGGGAAAGAUACCCAAUGUAAUCAACCUCUUUUUAAACAUAGAAGGCGUAGAACACAUAGCGAAUGCGGUGCAGGCGAAAAAACAGAUAUUUUUAUUAAAUAAAUGGAGAUGAUGAGAUUUAAACUCGUGACUGCUUAGUCAUUAAGGCUCUGAUAUCAUGUCAAGGAACCAUCUCAACCUCAUAGUUUAAGUUGUUAGGUGAGGUCCAAGAUACGAUUUAUAUUAUUCUCUAACAUACCUUCUCAAAUGAAAGUCAUUUGAGCUUGAAACUUGCACAAGCUCACAUUACGUUGUGCUUAAUUUUUAUCAAAUAAAUGGGAUGGUGAGAUUCGAACUCGUGACCGCUUGGUCAUCAAGGCUCUGAUACCAUGUUAAAGAACCAUCUCAACCCAAAAAUUUAAGUUAUUAAAUGAGGUUCAAUAUAUAAUUUAUAUUAUUCCAUGACAAUACAUAUUUUAUAAUUGUAUACCAUAGAGAAUCAUGCUAGUUAAUGAUAACAUGGUUGCAAUAAACUGUGCAACAGAGAAAAGAGCGAAGGCAACAUGACCACAAACAUGAAAAUAAAAAACUUAAAGGAUCAAAUUGAACUUCUACAUAAACUUCAAGGACCAUCAUGCUUGUUUUGCAGGUGUUUUAGUGAGCUCGAUCAUCAUUCUUCAUUGUCAAUCACCUCAAUUCAACCUUUUGAACAGUCAUUUCAUCAUAGUAGAUUUUCCAACCGCUUCAAACCAAUUUCCUUUUAAAAAAUAUAUUAUAAACUCACUUGAGUUUAGGCUAAUAUAUUAUUAAAGAAAAUUAGCUUCGUGUUGUGACAUUAAAAGUUUCACUCUCGUAUGGAGUUUGUGUGUUAAUUGCUAAAAAAAAAAAAAACAAUUGUGGAAGCUUAAUUUAAACAAUUAAAUAGCAAAAUAAAUAUUGCUUAAAUAAUAUUUAAAAAACAAAAUAAAAAACUUGUUGUAUGCAUCUUAGCAUGACAAAAAAAAUCCCUUCUAAUUGCAAGUUUCUUGAAAAUAUGUAUACGAAAAAGAGAGGUAUCGGAACCUUUUCCAGGUUUUUCUUAAGUAAAUUCCAAGCCUUCAAGUAAAAACAAAUAUUACGAGGUUUGAUAUAUACUAGUUUGAUUAUCAAUCUAUGGUGUGGGAUGAAACUUUUUUUUUUCCAGACACAAAAAAAUGUGUUGGCAUUAUUAACAGUUUUUUUUACCACCAAGAAAAAAAUUAACUACGAAAAGUUUAUACGUGUAUUUAAUAAAAUAAAUUAAAAAUUAUAUAUAUCAAUAAAUGAUAAUAAAUCUGCUGAUUCUAACUAAAGACCGAGUCGAGAAAAUGAAAUAAAGAUGCUAUUUGUUUAAAAAAUAGAUUAAAUAUUUGUUUUGGUUUAAAUCAUAUACUUAAAGUUUUAAUUAAUUUAAAUCAAUAAAAUUAAGUUUUAUCUUGUCAAAUCAAACAUCAACUAAUGUCGCGUUUAUUUAUUGGAAAGUAUUUUUUUUUUGCAAAGUGAAUUCCGAGAAAGUGAAUUAUUUUCUGAUGUUUGGUAGUGUAAUGAAAAAUAAGUUGAAAAACACUUUCUAGUGUUUGAUUAUGUCAUGGAAAAUGAGCUGAAAAAUAAUUUAUUAAUAUUUUAUUUUUUCCAAGUUUAUUAAAAUAAUGAGGAACAAAUCUUACAUAUUAAAAAGUUGAAUGAGAAUGAAAUUGAAAAAAAAAAUAAUUUCAUAAAUUAUCUCAAAUAAAAUAAAUAAUAAUCAAAAUAAUAGAGAUCAAAUCUAAAAAAUAAAAAAAUUAAAAUAUGAAGAAAUUAAAAUAAUAAUAAUUAACAUUUCAUAAAUUAUUUCAAAUAAAAUAAGUAACAAUCAAAAGAAUGAGGACCAAAUUUGAUAGAUAAAACAUUUCAAUUAAAAAAUGAUAAGGAAAAAGCAAAUAACAAUUAUAAAAAUAAGGACUAAAAUAAAUAUAAAAAUUAAAUUCUAAGAAAUGAAAUUAAAAAACAAAUAUUCAAAACAAAAUAUAUAGAGCAAUCAAAAGUUUGAGGACCAAAUUGAUAUAAUCAACAAAUAAUAUGAUAUUUCUAAAUUUUUCACAACUUCCGGAAGUGUUUUCCGUCCAAAAUAAAAGGAAAACACUUUCCCGAAAACCAAACCAAAUUUUCCUUUGACUGGAAAGUAUUUUCCGUUGACCAGAAAAUGUUUUUCGUUGACCAACUUUUCCAAUGACAAACAAACACGGAAAAGUUUGGAAAGUAGUUUAUCGGAAACCAGUUUUCAAGAAACAAACACAGCCUAAAUAUCAAAACUUGAUUUUAACAUUGUGAGAGCCCCUUAUAACGCCAACCAAAAUAAAACAUUAGACUCAAUUCCAAGUCAAUUUAGCGUGAAAGGAUUAAAUUGAUAAGAAAAAAUUAAAGAAAAAAAAACACUAUAAAUAACCAUUGCAAUCUACAGUGAGUUUUCCUUUCUCAUAUGUUAAAUUUUUAUCUUUUUUUUAAAUAUUUUUGUUAUUUCAUAUCAUCUUGUGUUCAUGAUUUCAAAUACUAUUACAUGGUUGAUUAGACAUCAAAUAUAUAAAAUCAAAUUACAAUUAUUAAAUGAAAAGAAAAUAAAAUCAAUGAAAACAAAGGAUAUGAAUGGAAAAAAAGACUCAAUAAAAAAAAUAUAAAUAUAAAUGGAAAAAUAUAAAGAUUCGAAGAGGUACAAUGUUCAUAAUAUGACAAGUGUUUUCACCUCAAAUUUUUUAAUGUUUUUGUUAUAAUAAUUUAUAAUAAUAUCAAUUAUAAAUAUUACUUCCCAGUUCCGAACCUGAUCAAUGUACUAUACAUUAAAUAUUAUCCGGUCCAAUUGAAACCGGGAUGGUGUAAUGUUUGUUUUCAACUAUGGUGUCGUGCAUAAUGCGUAUCUUGAUUGAGGUUUUUAUUAUAUUCUUUUGAAAAAUUGAAAAAUAGGUAAUAUAUAUAUAUAAUCGUGGCUCCAACAAUUGUUAAUUUCAUCCCCUUCACGACCGACACUGUUGAACAACCAGGCUUCUUGUAUUUGUUGUAACAGUAACCAAAAUCCUAUAAUAUCAUGUACUGAAUAUUGCUAACGUGCAAUGAAAUAAAUAUAAAAUAAAUAACGAAGUUUUUUUUUUAAAAAAAAAAUCAGUACUGGAAAAUAUUAUGAGAUUUUAAUUUUGUUUUACGACAUAAAAUCUUACGUUGUUAAAUUUAUUCAAACAAGCUCAGUUUUUAUUUGUGCGUUUCUCUAUAAUAUUUUUUUUAUAAUAUUUUAUAUAUAUAUAUAAAUAUCCUUAUAUUCUUUUAAAAAACGAGAAUAAUUUUAUUUGGGGAUCAUGUCAGCUCCUACCAAUAAGAUUUUUAUAUGAUAUGAAUUUUAAACUAUUUAUUUACUUAUAAACUUUAGUAUAUUAAACACUUAGUAUAGUUAAGAAGAAAUGGAAUGAAGAGUCAGUGUUUUAUUAUAAAAUCAAUAUUAAAGGAAUGUUUGAUAAUCCCUUCUACCAACCUGAUAGCUGUUACCCUAGAGAUGGGUUUUGCCGUCAGACUUUUCUUUCAAGUUAGCAUUCGAAAUUAAUUUUCUCUCUCGAAGGAUUAGCUAGCUAGCAAGUGGCAAUCUUUCUUUCUUUUUUAUUUUUUAUUUUUUGUCCUUUUAUAUGAAAAAGCAAAUGGUAGUAUGAUCUUCAUUUGAAUUUGAAAGAGAAGUGCAAUGAUCUGGAUCCUAUGGCCAAGAAUUCUCUAACGCAUGCCCCAGGAAUCAUUGCCAAGGGGUGCCCAAGAGUUCUGCAAAUUCAGCUACCAUUUGUGCGUCAUUAAUCGGUUUGGCAGAUCGUGUCAUAAAUAUGAAGCCCUAGAGGCAUGAUGGCUCCAGCUCGGACUGGACUGGAUUGGAUUGGAUUGGAUUGGAUUUUCAUGGGAGAUCAGGAGGAAGAUGCACCCUGAUAACCUUUCGGCCUAAUAUGCCACCAAUGUCCUUUCUUUCUUUCUUUCUUUUUAGAAAAAAUUUAUACAUUUUUACGUUUUAGACGUAAAUAUUACAACACAUGCAAAGUAAUUAAAUUUACAACAACACACGUAUGCAUGUGUGUAUACUCUACAUCAGGGUGGUGAGGCUGAGCUUCUGCAUCAACUCACAAUCACAAUCUAGCUUCGCUUCUACAAUAAUUUAUUACACUUUAGCAAUCUUACUAGAAAUCGGACGAGCAGUUACUUCUGGUUGGAGGCUGUCAGCUAUCACUGUUGAUCUGUACUUUUUUAAAAUAUAUUGCAGCUUUCUUUGAUGUUUUUUAAGAAUAAAUCUUAGCCCGAAUAAAAAACAAAUAGUAUAUAAAACUUCAUAUUUAUUCAAGUUAUUUUAACUAAUAAGUUGAAUGGUCAUAUUUAUUAUAUGGAUAAAAUUAUCCAGAUUAAUUAUUUUUAUUAAAACAUUUUUAUUAAAACGAUAUUAUUUUAUUUUUUUAAUAUUUAGAUGAGAUUAACUAAGUUGAUCAAAAUUCUUUAAAUUAUAUUUUAUCCAAUUCAAUAUAAAUUAGGCUCCACAUCUUAAAUCUCUCAAAUUAACUUAUCACUCGUGACAGGGUUUAGUAGCUACUAGUUAGAUGACCCGCACGAUGCUGCGGGUUAAUUUUUUUUACAUAAAAAAUAUCAAAAAAAGCGAAGAUUUAAAAGUGUUAGGUCUUUCUGCAAAACUAUACCCAAGAGUCUUGGGUUUGGCUGCAACGUCUGACCCAAGAGUAAUAUUUAUAAUAUUAAUAAUAACAUUAAACUUGCAUGACCCAAGUUUAAGUGGGUUUGGCUGCAAUACCAGACCCAAUAACCUUGGAUGUGGGUCUGACUGCAAGGUCGUAUCAUAAAAGUGUGAUAAUUAAAUAGAUUAAGUAAAAAGAAAAAAAUAUAGAAAAAAAACCAACAUGAAGAAAAUAACUAAUGAAGAAAAAGAAAAAGAAAAUUGAAUUAACUGGGUUAACUCUUCAAACCAGGUUAACCAGUCAAACAUUGGAUUUGUGUCGUGAAAGUUUGAUAACUAAAUAGAAAAAAAAAUUGACGGGUUACCCCAGAAUUAACUGGGCUAACCCGUCAAACCCGGGAUCCGUGUCAUAAAAGUCUGAUAAUUAAAUAUAAAAAAUUUAAUAUUAAGAAAGUAAAUUUAAAAAAAUAAUUAAAAAACAAAAAAAAAAGAAAAAAGAAAAAAGCCAGAAAAAAACUAAAGACAUCGGCUUUUUCACUGUGGACUGCACUGUGUAGUCCACAAUAAAAGGCUUAAAAAGGAAAAGAAAAGGGAAAAAAACAAAGGCAUACCCACGGGUUAAUUUUCUUUUCUUGCAUAAAAAAUAUUAAAAAAGGGCUAAGAUCUAAGAGUGUUAGGUCUUUCUGCAAAGAUAUACUCAAAAGCCUUGGGUCUAACUGCAACGCUUCACCCAAAAGUAAUAUUUAUAAUAUUAAUAAUAAUAUUAAACUUACAUGACUCAAGUUUAAGUGAGUCUGACUGCAACACCAGAUCCAAGAGCCUUGGAUGUGGGUCUGGCUGCAAGAUCGUGUCAUAAAAGUAUGAUAAUUAAAUAGAUUAAUUAAAAAGAAAAAAAACCAACAUAAAGAAAAAAAUUAAUAAAGAAAAAGAAAAAAUAUAUGAAUUAACUGGGUUAACCCUUCAAAUCAGGUUAACCCAUCAAACUUGGGAUUCAUGUCAUGAAAGUUUGAUAACUAAAUAGAAAAAAAAAUUUGAUGGGUUAACCAAGAAUUAACUUAGUUAACCCGUGAAACCAGGUUAACCAGUCAAAUCCAAGAUAUGUGUCAUGAGAGUCUAAUAAUUAAAUAGAAAGAAAUUUAACAUUUACAAACUAAAUUAAACAAAAAAAAUUAAUUAAAAAGAAAAAAAAACUUCGGGUUACCUUGUCGAACCAGGUUAACCAGUUAAACCCGGGAUCCAUGUCAUAAAAGUCUGAUAACUAAAUUAAAAAAAAUUAACAUUAACAAAAGAAAAAAACAAAUAAAAAUGGACGGGUUAACCCGUAAAACCAGGUUAACUCGUCAGACAUGAGAUAUGUGUCAUGAAAGUCUGAUAACUUAAUAGAAAGAAAUUUAACAUUAACAAACUAAAGUAAACUAAAAAAAUUAAUUAAAAACAAAAAAAAAACUCCGGGUUAACUCGUCAAACCAAAUUAACCUGUUAAACCUGGGAUCCUUGUCAUGAAAGUCCGAUAACUAAAUAAAAAAAAUUUAACAUUAACAAAAUAAAAAAACAAAAAAAAAUGGACGGGUUAAUCCAGAAUUAACUGGGUUAACCCGUGAAACCUGAGAUAUGUAUCAUGAAAGUCUGAUAACUAAAUAGAAAGAAAUUUAACAUUAACAAACUAAAGUAAACAAAAAAAAUUAAUUUAAAAAAAAAUCCGGGUUAACUCGUGAAACCAAGUUAACCUGUUAAACCCGGGAUCAAUAUCAUAAAAGUCUAAUAACUAAAUUAAAAAAUAUUAACAUUAACAAACUAAAUUAAACAAAACAAAAUUUAUUAAAAGAAAUAAAACAAAGAAAGAAAGAAAAAAGCUAAAGUCAUCAAAAAAGAAAAAAUUAAAAAAAAUUAAAAAAAAUAGCUUAAACUAAAUUAAACAAAAGAAAAUUUAUUAAAAGAAAAAAAACAAAGAAAUAAAGAAAAAAAGCUAAAGGCAUCAAAAAAAAAAAAUUGAAGAAAAAUAGCUUGAAAAAAACAGCUUAAAAAAAAACAAAAAAAGAAACAGCUCAGCCUUCACUGUGGUGAAAGGCUGAGCAGUUGUAAUAUAUUUCUAAUUUCAUUAAAAAUGUGAUUACGCUGAAAAUUAAAGUAUUGCCUUUAGAAAAUAUAUACUUUAGCAUCCAUCUACCAAAAAAGGACAAUUACAAAGGCAAGAACGAGAAAGCCUUUGUAUCAACGAACCUGCAGGUGCCCACCUCGAGCUCCUUCACCACCCACACGGACGUGAUCCUUGGUCUGUGUUGAUUAAUCUGGCAUCUUGCAAACUCUUAAAAGAGUCGAAAACUAUCACUUAAAAUAUCAAUUUUUAGUACUUUCAAUAAUCAUAUGCACUUAAUUUCCCAGGGCUUGUAAUAAGAGGACGAACCACACCUCAAUGACAAACGGCAUCACCCAACCGAUUGGUUUGUCUCAUAUAUAUAUAUUUGCCUAUUUGGUGUAGAAUCUCCCAAUCAAUAAGCUUGUAGCUUAAUAAUAUCUUGAAUAAAUCAUAACUUGUGGCUCUGUAUUUCUUAAUAAAUAUAUAUUUUAACCCCUAUAUUUUUGAAAAUAAUAUAAAUUAAUCAUUUUAUUUCUAUACUGAUUUGUAAAUCCAGUCCCUUUAUUAAUAUUCCGUGGUGAUUAUUUAGAUUUUGUCACUAAAAACAAACUCAUCAUGUGCUUAAAAAAUGAGCGACAAAGGCCUGGGGAGUAGAAAAUCAAAUUAAGAGAAGCUGGUACAAUUUCCAAGGCACCCCCAUAAGAGUUAGGGAAAAGUUUUAUUAUGGUCAGUGUUGAGUUUGAAAGAAGAGAGGAUUUUCCCAAAAGGGGCACUCCAUUAUAAACCCUGAUAUCUGAACGGAACUACUGGAUUACCACGAUUUUCAGGACAUGCAUCUAGCCAGCGGUCAAUAGAGGGUUUGGAAGGGGCGUCAUUGCCAAUCGCAUCAAUCAUAUACCGAACAUCUCAUGAACGGGCCAGGCUAGACUAGAUCGAAUAGUUUUUUGGCAGUAUUUGAUUGAAUUUUUAUUCCACUGGGGCAUGUAUUCCUGGUUGUGUAGGCCGCAGGAGUUUCGAGAUUUGUUGAGUGAUGAGGAAUGAAAAGUAAAGUCGAUGAUAGUUGUUGAGAAUUGUCAGAUUGAAUGUUUCCGAGUAAUAUACGAAGCAAAAAUUUCGAUACAUGAGGGGAGGGCUGUGUUGUCAUGUCAAGGUACAAGAGAAUGUGUGGAUGCGAUGGAUGCAAUGUGGCGGUGGAUGGUAUUAUUAGCACUGGAAGCAGUGGUUAUAAUGACUGUUGCAGGUGUAUUGAAUAGGCAUGCAAUGCCUCUUAUACUACAAUGUAUUAAUAUGUUGACAAUGCGGUUAAAGCAAUGCCUCGAGGAGAUGUUACGAGUCUUGCACCCAAAGGGCAACUUAGCUUUAGAGCCAUCCAUGAGUCUCGUCUGUCGAAUAUUAAUUUCGGGUGCAUUGGAGGAAACAAAUCAUCUCCCUUUUAGCUUGAACUGGAUCUUUGGGGAGCGCGGAUCUUUUUUUUUUUUAACCUAAAAAAACAUAUGCUUUUUAAUAGUAGGAAAAUCAAUUAAAUUGAAUGAAAUUGAAAAAAAUAAUUAAAAUAAUUAUGGUUAAUUUAUAUUAAUUUGUUAAAUUUACAAUCAGGUCAUGUGAUCGGAAUAACUUAAUAAAAAAUAAAUUAUAAAACUCAAUUAUCAAUCAAUCUAGUGUUGAAAUAUAAAAUUAAAAAUAAACAAUUAAAAAAAAAACAACUCGAGUCAACUUAAGUUAACCCAUUAAAUUCGUUGCCUGAGUCUUGAGAUAGAAAUAACCUCAUAGAAAGCAAAUCGAAACAAAUCAUGAAGCCUAAUUCUUAAUUUAAGGAUGAUAUCGAGAAAAAAAAAUCAAUUAGAAAAAAAAAAUCAAUUCAACCGAGUUAACUUGUUAAACCUGCGGUUCAGAUCAUUAGAUUUGAAUAACCUCAUAAAAAAAAUUGAAAAAAAAAACAAAGGAAGAAAAAUCAAAAUACUAUUCUAGUGAAUAAUGUUUUGUGAGAACGAGUACAGUGAAAUCGCCUUCUCUUUUUUUUAUUUUUAACUAGCCUCAAUUCCCGCUUCACCACGGGGCCAAACUAUUUUUUUUAUUUAAAAAAUUAUGUUUAGGUGUUGAAUUGGGGUGAAAAAAAAUGAUAGGAAAAAUUAGUCAUGACAAAGUUGUAACUGUGCUAAUUAGGGUUAAGCCAAUCCGAUAUAUCUUGUCAAGCUCGCGACUUAGAUCAUGCGAUUGAAAUAACCCGAUAAAAAAAUAAAAAGAAUUAUAAAGUCUUUUUUUUUUAAAACCAUGUUAACUUUUAAACCUGUGACCCGAGUCAUUAGACCUGAAGCAUUCAAUAUGAAAAAACCAUGAAGUUCAAUUCUCCAUUAAUUAAAUAUUUAAGCAUGAAAUGGAAAAAAGAAUUUUAAUUAUACAAAAAGAUUUAAAAAAUAGAAAUUAAAAGAAUGAUGAUCAAAAUCAAAAUAAAAAAUAAAAUUUAUAUUUAAUUGAAGGGUGAAAUUGAAAAAAUAAUUCAAUUUAGUAAAAUGAAAAAAGAAAUUAAAAAAAUAGAAUAAAAAUUGACAUGGAAAAAAUAAUAAUAUUAUAAUUAAAAGGUGAAAUUGAAAAGAACAAUAACUUUUACAAAAGAACUAGGAAAACAAUUAUAAAUCAAAACAAUGAGGAUCAAAUUAGAAAACAUAUUACUAUCAAUUUCAAUUGAAAGAUGAAUUUGAAAACCAUUAAAACUUUUACAAAAAGUCCAAGAAAAAAAUAGAAAUCCAAAGAAUAAUAACUACAUUAGAUAAUAUAAUAUUUGAUAAAUUAGAAUUGAAGAAUAAAAUUGAAAAUAGAUAAAAUUUUUAUGGAGGAAAGAGAGAAGAUUAUGGAACAAUUCAUUAUAAUUAUUAUUGUUGUUGUUGGAAAAUGACUUGGGUGUAAAUUAGAUAAAACACAUAGAACAUAUAAUGUAAUGAGAUGGAUUGGUAUAUUAUUUUAAAAUUCUUAGUUAUGUAAUGAAGACUUUUUAUAAAGUUUCGUUCUAAUGUCUGAUUUUUUUUUUUUAAAAAAAUUAUUUUGUCUUUAUAUUUUAUUUUUAUUUAUAAAUUGGUCUUUAUUUGAAAGUUUUUGGUAUUUAUAUUGUUUUAAAUUGUAAUUUAGUAUUUGAAUUUUUUUUUUACAUUUAAAUCUCUACAUGAUUAUUCUUAAUCAGGUUCGUGAUCACAUAACUUUUUUUUAUGCAAUAUGUAUAAUGUAAUAAGGUAAUUUUUUAUUAUAUUAUAAUUUUAAAAAUUACAAAACUAAACAUAGAAAUGAAACGAACCACUACUUCCGAGUUCCGAUGAAACAGGUUAAAAAUAGCUAGAGCCCAGAGUGGCGUGAACACUUAACCAGUCUUAUCUUGAAGUAUUUGCGUGCAUGCUUGUAAUUUUGUAAUGGUUUGUUUCAAGUUAUGAAGCUAGCACGUGGGUAUAUAUUGUUAAAACAAAAGAAAAAUGUUGUAAGAAAAUUCACAUAUGUGUGAUUAUGAUUGUUUUUUAAAGUAAUUUUCACUUGAAAAUAUAUCAAAAUAAUAUUUUUAUUUUUUAAAAAUUAUUUUUGAUAUUAGCGCAUCAAAAUGAUCUGAAAACACCAAAAAUAUAUUAAUUUGAAGUAAAGAAAAAAAAUUUAAUUUUUUUCAAAAAUAUUUUUGAAAAGUAAAAGAAAAAAAAUCAAAUGUUGACAUCGGAAAAGAAAAUUUCAAGAAAUUUAAGAAAGAAGUUUGUUUUGAUACACGAAAACUAUCUCGAAGAUGCUAUAAAUGUAAGAGAUUAUAAGUUAGCACAGAGCUUGGAGACACACGCGCACACACACUUACUUUCAAGUUUUGAUGGUUAGAAAAGGGGGAGAGCCUUAAUGGUUAAAUUUACUUGGUAGAGUAUGUAUGACCAUAAAUAAACGCAAGAUUCUUCUUCCCCACUUGUGUUUUCCUUUUUAGACUUUGCAUUAGGAAUGCGUCAUGAUCUACUUAAAACAGAGCUUGGUAAGGUAAUUGUCAAUGGUUAAGCAUGGUUUAUCAUGGGGACAAGAAGUACAGGGAACCCAAACCUGUUCGGUCAACGUAAUUAUCAUCAUGGAACAAACUUUCCCAAUCGACGAAAAAGUUUUUAAGCCGACACCAAACAAUUAGGAACAAAGAGUACUUUCAGGCACAAUAAUUUUUCAUUAUUGCUGUUUUUUUAUGUGUUUUAUUUGAAAAUUAUAGUAUAUUUUGUUUUUUUUAUGAAAAUAUAUUAAAAUAAUAUUUUUUAUUUUAAAAUUUAUUCUACAAUUAAAAAAUAUUAUAUUUUUUAUUUUUAAAAUUUAUUUUUGAUAGUAACAUAUUAAAAUAAUUUAAAAAUAUUAUAUAUAUAUUUUUAUUAAAAUAUAAUUAGAUCGGAAUGCCUUGAUAUUAUACCUUGGUGUUAUAUUAUCAACGCAGUUUUUUUUUUCUUAUUAAUUUGAGUGUUUGGGUCAGUUUGUGCGCAUCUCGAUUAAUUUCAUGGACUUUCAAGUUAACGACUAUAUAAACCUUCAGUGGCCAUCAUAUUAACAAUCAUAAAACUCGAAUAUAAGAUCACAAGAAAAAUAAAUUUUUUAAUCCCAAAUUCUUAUUAGUACAUCACUUACUAUAUGAUUUCACUUACUAUAUGAUUUUAUAAAGAUAUUGCGAUUGAUAAGAUGGCAAGAUGAAAUAAUUUGAGAGACAGGGUUGAAUUCGUUUUUAUUAUGAAAACAUGGAUAUGAUGUGAUAACAAAGUUGUGAAACAUGAUUCGGAGUUCAGAAAGGUUUCGGUGAAAACAUUUCACCCUGCGCUCAUUUCAUUUGUCGAUAUGCCAUAGGCCUCGCCACUUCCAAUUAGUGGACGAUCCAUCAAUUCUAGUACAUUCGUCACGCACACGAAAACCUGGGAAUGACUCCUCAUUUUAGCUCACUGUAGACUUCUUACAAAGUAUAUUUUCUGAGCGAUUGACUGAGUAGCUUUGAUUGGUAAAUUUUGUUUUUUUAAUUGAGAUAAGUUUUAAGAGCAUUUCCCCUCGUUAAUCUGAUAUAAAUAAAUAAAUGGCUUCAGAAUCUUAAUUCUCAAUCCGAACUCAAAAAAUCGAAAGAAGAUAGCACCACCUUUAAGUUGUUUGAGCCUUACUCCAUGAAGAAAGAAUCAUGCUGAGAGAUACGAAAGUUCGUUCUCUGUUUCUGCUACUACUGGGCGUUAAAAAAAAAGCAUUGAAAUUGGAACCACAGUUGCUUUCAUUAUGAUUGACCAUAAAUAUUAUUUUAUGCAGGAGAAAGAGAAGUGAGGAAAAUGACCUAAUUGCGCCAACAAGGAGGUAGCUACAGUGAUAGUUCAUAAUUAAGCAAGCUAUAAACUCCCACACCAUGGUCCUGCCUCUUGAAAAUUUAAGUGAUUAACACUAUAUUAUGUACGAUGGUAAUCAUUAACCAGAAGAUUAACUAAAAAGGAGAAGUAAUCAUGAAGCAAAGGAAGAGUGGGGUACAGUAUUUCACCGAAGAAGAAAAGGAAAUCUUAAAAGUAUCAACAGUACAUACACAGUAUAACCCUUCCCAUAUGUCAUUAUACCUGUACCGUAGUCGGCAGAGACAUUAAAUAACCAUUGAGAUUCAACAACAACAAAAAAAAAAAAAAAAAAAGGAAAAACAAAAAAAAAAAGAGAGAAGGAAAAACCGUCCUUCUAAUUUGCACAGACACUGUCAUUUGUCAAAAAAUGAGGGUUUUUAGUCAAGUUCUCAUGGGACUCCAGAAAUGACAUGUGGCUUCACUUCCCCACGUUGUGUUUAUCAGUUUCUGCUAUAAAUACAGCUCCCCCUCCUUUGAACUUUCCCCACCAUUACCAGCUAGAGCAUCGGUUUAGGUCCCUUUGAAGCUAAAUAGCUGCAAGGCUUGAUGCAUAGAAAAGUAUGGAAGAAUCUGUUAAGCUCAGGAGGGAUAGCGCCCUAAGGAUAAUCAUGGGCUCUUUUUAUGUGGUUUUUGAUUCUCAGUGGCGCUAUCCAUCCUGAGUUUCAUUGCUUCUUCUUGCUACCAGCUCCUGGCCUCUCUCUGUUGGGUCUUGAAGUGCCAUUAAUUCCAGCUUUUUUGAGAAGGUGAUUUGUUACUGGUAUGUACUAGCGUUUGCUUUUAAAUUCAUUUCUUAUCGGGUUUCUCAUGUUUCUUGUUGUAGUUGCCAUGGUUAUUGAGGGGAAUUUCCUUUGAAUAAGUGGAGUAUUAAUGAUAGUUUCUGUUCGAAGGCCAUUAUGAGUUCUGCGCUCAUGCUGUGGAAACCAUCAUAGAUUGAUCUUAAUUCAGAAAUAUGCCAUUGAUGGAAGUUAAAUGGAUAGUCCAUAUUGAACUAUUUAUGUACAUAAAUUGAUAAUGUUUUUCCUUCUUGACAUGCUAAUUACGGUUAUGGAGGGAGUUAAUCGUUUGCUCUACACAUGGAUGGAUGGAUUAUGAUAGCGAUUGUGUGAUUGUGAUUGUGAUGGCGAUGAUUAUAUUAGCAACACAAAACUCCAAAAUAAAAGUAACAGUUUGUAAUAAUAAUAAUACAGAAACAAAAUAAUGCAGGGCUAGCUUAUCCAUUUAUCAAAUUUGGUCUGGGAGGAUGAACUUGAAGAUGUUGACUGCUUCCCAUCUUCGUGUAAGUCGCGGCCCUCGGUCAUGUUCUUUCGAGUCGUUUCCUUUACUUUAAUUAUAUCUAUAAAAAAAAAAUUAAGGCAAAGGUUUGUGCAAUUAAGUAAUAUCUGCACUCAUUUACAGCUUUAAUUCUGAUAUUUUGCCCCCUUUCCAGGUGACCGUGUUUCCACGCUGCUUCCGUUGCUUCCACUGAAAGAUCUCCGGUGGUUGAUAGCUUUAGACCAGUUUCCUAUAUUAUAGUAGAAUCUUUUUAGAUUUUAAUUUUCUUCACGGAAUUAAUUUACAGUGAAGUAAUUAUAAAAUGAUGUUACCAGGGCAUAGUCUAGAGAGCCACCCCAUCAAGUUCGAGGUGAUCUGCUGAGGGCCUUGGGUAAAAAAAAAUAAAGGUAUUGCCUUUACUAAAAUCCCCUUGAACUGGGCAGUACAGAUGGAAGCGUACAAGUUCGAAUGUAAAUGGAAUAACUUAACAUGAUUUUUUCUUCUUACGAAUAUCUUAAAUUCAAUUGUAAAUAGUCAAAUUAAACAAAAAUUGCUGAAGAGAUACCAGUUGUAUUGCCAAGACAACGAGGAGCUAACAAUCUGAAAGAUUUUCCUCGUAGAUAUACAUCUUUUACAUUUGGAACGAGACGCUUAAAGUAGCACAAGAACUAGGUAUCUUUUCCUCGGAGAUACCACAUUGUCUUGCUCAAACCCAGGCAAUGGGGGCUAGGAGCAUUUCUUGUUCAAGUUGUGUAAGAACAGGAUUUAGGUAUUCAUUAAUUCUAUCGUUUGUUUAUGGUUGAAGUUAUCUUCAUCAUGCGAAUAAUCGCAGGUUGCCACAGGCAGUGGGAUCGUGACAUGAUAUUUAUGAAGAGUCAAUAAUUUCACGAAGCUGAAUGGAAAUAAAGCUUUAGCCAAGACAAUAGAGGAGACAAUAUCAGUUGUAGGGGCCGGGAGAUUUCCAAUAUUUCACCUUUUUAUCCCUAUUCUGCUUGUACUCGGACCAUUUUUCACCUGUUCUUUUUCACUUGUUCUUUUUGUACUUGGAACAACCCUCCCCGACGUUUUCAGAGUUUGAGAUCUGUUUGGUUGGUUUUUUUUUUAAUUGAGCGAACUCAAAUUUACCUUCCAAUUAUUGAGGUAACAUCAGUUUUGCCCUUGAGUAUAUAUUUUGUCUCUAUUUUUAAGGUUUGCCCAUCUUUAUUUCGUGGAUAGGAGUGUGGUUGUUUUUUAAAGUAUUUUUUUACUUAGAAAUCUAUUAAAAUAAUAUUUUUUUAUUUUUUAAAAAUUAUUUUUGAUAUUAAAACAUCAAAAUAAUUUAAAAACACUAAAAAAAUAUUAAUUAAAUUAUUUUUUUAAAUAGUUUUAAAAUGGACGUGUUAUUGAGAUUUUGCAACCUGGGGCCUAAAUGGAGGCUCUUUGUUUAAAAUUAUUUUAUUUUAUAUUUUUAGAUUGUUUAAUAUGUUAAUAUUAAAAAUUAUUUUUUAAAAAUAAAAAAUAUAUUAUUUUUAAGAAAAAAACAUUUAAAAAACAAUAAUUACUAACACUAUCAAACACCCUAAUAAUGUUUUUUUUUCAUGAGUUGAUUACUUUGUAUAUGAGGAGCUAUAGCUCAAUUUAUAUCCAAUGCUUAAAUCCCUAAAUAAAAAGAGACGUGCAAAGAUUUGAUAAAUCUGGAGCCCCUCAAAUGAGCCUAAAAGCUAAAGCCCAAACAGACAAAGUUGUAGUGGGCUAAACCCACCAAGGUUAGGUGGUCUCCAUAAGCCCUUUUGGAGAGCACAGUUUGACGCCCUUGCAAAGCCUAAACAAGGAAGCUCAACAAAAGCAGCAACAACCAAAAAAAGCAACGUGAACUGUCUAUAUUUCCUUCUUCCUACUACAAAGAGGUUAUUUGAGUUUUGAGGUGCCGCCGCCACCACCACCACCACCAAUUAGAGGCACAACCACUUAUUUAUUUUACAGUUCACCAACGUGAACUGUCCUCAUGGUACUUGAAACUGAAUCUAUCAUCAAAGCUAUCCAGAUUGGUGAAAGUGGCUGUUAAAGGGUCGAUUAUUACUGGCUUACGACAGUGGCUGACAUUAGAACUCGAGAGCUAGAACAAGUAUACGCAAAAUUGCAGCUCGGAGUUCAAGGGCCAAAUGUUUUUCCUUCCAGUCUUUUCCUCUAUAUGAUUUCAUGUAAUGCCCUUGCUGUGAGAAAAUGUAAAUCGGUAACUGCCCUCUCUCCGUAUAAACUUGUAUUCUACCUGGAGGACGGUUAUUUUUUGGGACAGACUGUCGCCCCAAUUUUGGAAGAAUUUCUCUCUGUCAAUAUCUGGAGAGUGAUUGUCAGCAUAUAGAUUGCGCACCCCCUUGUCGAUGGAACUAUAUAUUCUAUAGAGAAUGACAUGCAUAUGAAGUGCCGAAUCUGUACAUUCAGAAAGUACAAUUUGGAGGCAUAUUCUGGCACAAUCUCAAAAUUAUUUAAGGAAUCCGAUGAAAUCUUUUGUUGUGAGUUGAAAGUGAUUGAAUUGCUAGAGAUCUUUCUACUGCAGACAUAAUAAAAAAGGGAGACCUAUAUAUUACGCAAAGAAUAAAAAAGUACAACGGCAAUGGAACUCAUCGCUAGAUACCAAAGCAUCUUGUUUUAUUGAUAAUCAGAUUUACACCUACAAAUAUUACUAGAAUUGUAAUUCAGGGUACCACUGAUCAAGCAGGCCUGGCUCUCCAACUAAGCCCCCGUUGAAGUCCUGCUGUGAUAGAUCAAAAUUCCAACCCAGGCCUAUAUCUGCCUCCUGAAAGUAACUCAAGCUCCCUGGUAGAUUGGUUGAUGGGGUCUGCAACUGGCAGGACAGUCCUGAUGGCCUUCUACUCUGUAGGUGGCUUGCAGAACCAACCUUCGCGGGAUCAUAACCAUAAUUCCCCCCUCCUUUUAAUACAGAAUUGUCAGAAAUAUCUUGGAUAAAAGGCUUGAUAUCAAUUUCUUGAUUGCAUAAACCCGGGUUCAUGUGAUCAUGCGUGGUCUCAAAGGGAUUAUAGUUGCUGAAUUUCAAGCCUGAAAACUCUUCCCCUGCUGCUGCUUCCCUCAUUAAUGGCUUCUCAACAUCAUAGAUAGGUUUAUGAUCAGUUCUCAUAUCAUAGUCCGAAUCUACGCACUCAUUGAGUCUGGUGCUCAUGCUGGAUUCCACAACCUCAUUCUUCAAUUUCUUAUGUUCUACAUUUUCAGUCUCAUUCUGCAAGAAUCCAUAUCUGUUAUUGAUACCGUAACAGCCCCAAGAUCUCAAAAUUCCUGCACAUUCUCCAUCUAUUUCUUCCCUCAAUACUGGUGCUUCAGCUUCAAUAUGAUGAGACGAUUUCCAAUCAUCUGUUAAAUUCCAUUCCACAGCUUUCAACUCCAUUGCACUGCUCUCCGCCACCCUGAUUUUCUCAACUUCCUCUUCUGAUUCGUCGACAGCACAUAUCCUAGAAAAGCCUGAUUGGUUAUUUCCUUCUCUAGACCCACAAUGAUUAAUCUUUAAUUUGUCAACCUUAUUAUCCUCGUAGCUAUCCAAUGCUGUCCUAGAUUCAGUUGAUGAUGUCUCAGUUGCAGUAAUCGAAGACGACAUAUUAUCCAGGUGAUUCCCAGAUUGAACUGGGUAGUCAGGGAAAUUGAGUAUGGCAUUAGGACCAUACAUAAGCUUUGCAGCAUAAUCAUAAGCACAAGCAGCUUCAAUAGCAGUAGAAAAUGUACCAAGCCAGAGUCUACUUCCUUGUUUGUUCAUUAAACUGCAUUUCUUGACAGGUUCUCUGAUUUCAGCAACCCACUUGCCCCAAGUUCUCUGUCUAACACCCCUGUAUCUGCAGUUCAUAUUCUCCGGGCCACCUUUUCCUUUCAUACAACCCUUCUUUGAACCCUUCCCUGGAACCUUGCUUACUUGAAGUUUGUUGUGUUUCUUCCACCUUGCAAGUGUAUCUUCUAUUGAUUCACAACCAUUCCGCCUUCUCUUCCUGUCCUUGCUGCUAAACCCUAGCAAAGAACUCUGUCUCAAAGAAUCCUCCAUGUCAAUACUCAUAAAAGAUCUUCAAGCUUGUUCUAAGCCCACAAAGCGAAAAGGUUUACGAGAACAAAUUCCAGUGUUGCUCGUAAAAGUCUCAAGAAAAUCCAGUCCUUCAAUUAUUGAAAUACGUAACGUGGUAAGAAAAAAAGUUAGUAACCCCUAAAAAAAAAAGCCAAGGUGUCUGAAGAUUAAAAGAGAGCACCAACUCACUAAAAGUAACUUGUCCUUCUUGUGCAGUCGAAGUGCUUCCUUGUGUGCGCUUGAUUGAUAUCUUCCUUUCUAAUUCUUUUAACUCCUUCAAAGGUCUCUCUUCGUCUAUUCUUUUUUCCUAGCUGGGGUUUAUCUAUGGUUUUAGGAUUAGUCUGUGCUUGUUUUCUAGUGUGGGGCUUUGUUGCUCAAUGUUUCUGGUGGUUUCUCUUCCAGCUUUCCUGGUUAUUCACUGGACUUGCCUUGGGUGCAAAGGAAGCGAUAGCCUACGACUAAUCAGAUUUGCCAACUUUUCAGAAGAGACUGGAUUUGCUUGCGAUUCCGCUUUUAUAGUCCCAAGAUAAAUGAUGCUUUGUUGACGUGGUCGUGUCAGAUCCGGUCGUGGCUAACUUGGGCGCCAAUAAACGCGGCAACAUCUUAUUACAUGAGACACGUCAUUUUCUAGGCUUAAAAUUGCUUUUAAAAAAUUUAAUUUUUUUUUAUUUUAAAUUAAUAUAUUUUUAAUAUUUUUAGAUAUUUUGAUAUAAAAAAUAAUUUAAAAAAAUAAAAAAAUAUUAUUUUAAUAUAUUUUCAAGUAAAAAAUACUUUUAAAUAUAUAUUUUUUUUAAUUUAGUUCAAUAAAAAAAAUUCAAUUUUAGUAAUAAUUUAUGAACGUGUUGAAACUUUUUUUAAUUUAAAUAUUUUUAUUUAAAAUUAUUUUUUUAUAUUUUUAAUUCAUGUUAUGUUAAUAACUUUUUAAAAAUAAAAAAAAUAUUAUUUUAAUAUAUUCUUAAAAAAUAAAAAUAAAAUAAAAUAAAAAAUAACAACACAAUAUUUUCUAACCUUCCUAAUCGUAGUAUCAAAAAGAAAAAGAAAAAGAAAAGGUAAAAGUUUUCUACUUUCCUUGUCAUGACGAAUAAGGUUCUUGGAAAGUUCCUAUGCCACAUCAGUGUAAUUUCUUCGUCUUUAUUGGGGGCCGCUAAAGUACCUUCUCUACUACAUUCGGACGGUGUCAGCUGCUGAGCAGCAAUAAUCACAAUAAACAGAGAUCAAAGCACCAUGACCAUUUGAUUUCAUUUCUUUUCUAAAAAAACAACCAAGUUCUCAGUUCUCUCCCAGUUCAAUAAAAUUCAAGCUGGUACAAAGCAAAUGAUUUUAAUGCAUCGAAAGUGUAGCCAAAACCCAUGAGAGGGAAUGGCUAGCCAUUCUGAAAUUCACCGUCUAGCAAUUGUUAGUAUCAUACACUGGUUCUCUGAUAAUCGGGCAUCUUGAUCUCGCCCUCAAAUAUACAACAACAGGAGCCAUCAAUACUAAUUUCUUGAUAAUCGGAUCUUCCAAGCAACGACUACAGAUUGGGCGCCUUCCUGUUCACAAAGAUCCCCACGAAACAACAGGAAAGAAAAGAGGAGAGAAAUCUGAACUUAGUGGAUCAACUUUUACAAAUAUGAAAGAAUUUAUGCUCGUUCUCUAUCCAAUUUCACACUGUGACACAAGAUUCAAUUUACAACUCUUAUAACCCACCACUUAUUAUCAUUGCAGCAGGACUGGAUAUAACUCUAUUUUCUGAAAAAAGAGCAACUGUUUAUUCCUUUUUCUUUAAGCAAAAAAGGGAAAAGAAAACAAGUUAGCUGACACCAUAUAAAAAAACACAAGGUGCACUGAAGCAGUUAUUCAGGUGCAGGGCUGGCAACUUUGUACCUCAGUAACUCAGUUUCCUAUUAUGAUUUUCCUGCAAAAAGAUGAAAGCAAAUACAUAUUAAGUCAUGUUUGUUUCUGGAAUUCACUUUUUUAAAAAUCACUUUUCAAACUUUCCUGUGUUUAUUUGCCACUAGAAAAGUUGGUCAACGGAAAACACUUUCCAGUCAAAGAAAAAUUUGGUUUGGUUUCCAGGAAAAUGUUUUCCCUUUUGGCUGUGUUUGUUUUCCGGAAAGUGGUUUCCGGGAAACCACUUUCCAAACUUUCAUGUGUUUGUUUGCCAUUAGAAAAGUUGGUCAACGGAAAACACUUUCCAGUCAAAGGAAAAUUUGGCUUGGUUUUCAGGAAAGUGUUUUCCUGGAAAAUUUGGGCGGAAAACACUUUCCGGAAGUUGUGAAAAAUUUAGAAAUGUCAUUAUUUGCUGAUUAUAUCAAAUUUGAUCCUCAAACUUUUGAUUGCUAUAUAUAAUUUGUUUUGAAUAUUUAUUUUUCAAUUCCAUCUCUUAAAAUUUAAUUUUUAUAUUAAUUUUGGUCCUUAUUUUUAUAAUUGCUAUUUGCUUUUUUCUUAUCAUUUUUUUAUUGAAAUUUUUUAUCUAUCAAAUUUGGUCCUCAUUUUUUUGAUUGUUACUUAUUUUAUUUGAAAUAAUUUAUGAAAUGUUAAUUAUUAUUAUUUUAAUUUAUUCACCUUUCAUUUUUUUUAAUUUUUUAGAUUUGAUCUCUAUUAUUUUGAUUAUUAUUUAUUUUAUUUGAGAUAAUUUAUGAAAUUAUAUUUUUUUUCAAUUUCAUUCUCAUUCAACUUUUUAAUUUGUAAGAUUUGUUCCUUAUUAUUUUAAUAAACUUGAGAAAAAUAAAACAUUAAUAAGUUAUUUUCCAGCUCAUUUUCCAUGACAUAACCAAACACUGGAAAGUGUUUUCCAACUUAUUUUCCAUUACACUACCAAACAUCGGAAAAUACUUUCCCGGAAUUCACUUUCCAAAAGGAAACUACUUUCCAGCAAACAAACGGGGCCUAAGGCUAUAUGAAACCAUCCAGGAUGAAUAUAUCUAGCUGCUAAGGCAGAGUUAAAAAAAAAAAGAAAUCUGAAAAUACAGAAAUACAAUGCGAAUUCAUACCAUCUCCAAGACCUUAGCAUUACUUUUGUCAACUUGGCUAGCCAAACUGUACGCUUAACCAACAUUUUUUCAUAAAAAUCUUCUAACCCCAUUGUAUUAUUAUUGGCCGUCUAUGAUCCCAUCAUCAACUUCCCAAAAUCCCCAACACCAAUCCCUUGGGUAACCACGUCCAACUCCUUUUGAUCCCUCUACUUUAUCAUAUCGUAAAUUUGUCCUCAAACACCCAUAAUUCCCUUUAAGAUCCGGAACAAAAUUAAUUAAGAUCAUUCCUACUUGUAAUGAGUCUAAGUAACUAAGAGGAAUUGAUAGAUCAAAAGGUAAAGCUAGUAAAAGAAUGUGAGUAAACCUUCACCACGUUGAGAGAAAGAAGGAGGAGGAAGAAUGAGAGAGAGAUUCAUGUAAUUGCCAAAUUAUUCUUCUAUACGCUUCAUGACAGGUAAAUCCCCGAACACCCUUUUAUUUUCAUGAUAUUGCUUGAGUUGAGAAACACGAAAAACAACAUGCUUUCAGGCAGAUGAGGGCAAAUCCAAUUUGUAAGCUACUAUCUCAAUUCGUUCAAUAACCUUUUAUGGUCCAUAAAACUUAGCAGAUAGCUUGUGUGAAACCCUGGAAGCUAUAGAUUUCUGCUAGUAUGGUUGUAACUAUAGAUACAACCAAUCACCCACAUUGAAUUCUCUUUCACUCCUCUUUUUGUUGGCUAGUUGUUUCAUUUUAUGUUGUGCUGCCCUAAGGUUCUUCUUGAGUAAAUAAUACAUGUCUUCCCUUUUAGUUAGCAAUGUGUCCAUUGCUUCAACAUUGCAAUCCUUAUAGAAAUAAAGAAUAUGCAUGGGUGGUGCCAAGUCGUAUAAAAACUUUAUAAGGAGUGACCUUUAUAGAAGUGUGAUAGUUUGUGUUUUACCACCAUUCUAUUAGGGUAACCACUUUGACCACUAACUUGGGUUAUUUCUAAUUACGCACCUCAAAUAGUUCUCCAAACAUUUGUUAACAAUUUUGGUCUGCUUAUCAGUCUAUGGAUGAUAAGCAAUAAAAUAGUGUGGAUGAUAAGUUAUAAAAUAGUGUAAUUCAAUUCCUUGAUAUGUAAAGAUAUUUUCCAAAAAUGACUUAGGAAUAUAAUAUCUUUAUCACUUAUUAUCAUUAUAGGAAGACCAUGUAGCUUGUAGACAUGGUCCAUGAAUGUAAUAUAUAUUGUAGUGGCAUAAUAUGAGUGAGAAAAAACCAUAAAGUGAGAGUGCUUGUUGAACCUGUCCACAACCACAAAAAUAAUCUCUUUGUCAUUUGAUUUUGGUAAACCUUCUAUGAAGUCCAUGUUGAUAUCAGUGAAAAGAGCGUGAGGGAUGGACAAUGGUUGUAGUAGACCUGGUGGUAGGAUAUUUUCUAAUUUGUUUUUCUGGCAAACCAAACAUUCCCUCAUAUAUAUUACCUUGUCUUUGUAGCCCCUUUUAGUAGAAUAACUCUCGCACCCUUUAGUAGUUACUCUAAUACCAAAGUGUCUCCUUAAUGCAGUGUCAUGGUAUAUUGAGAUAAUCCUUCUUCUCAAUUCAGGAUCAUGACCUACAACAAUCUUUCCUUUUUUGUUCAAAUGUUGUUUCACCUAAUUAUAGUGAAGGUGAGAACUAAGAUUUUUUUGUAUAUCUUUUAUGAUGCCCUACACAGCUUCAUCAUAUUCUUAUGACUUCUGUAUCUCUCUUAUAAUGCUUGCAAAAAUAGUAAACACUUCUAUAAUAAAUAGUUCAUAACUAGCAGUUCUAGAUAAAGCAUUUGUAGCCACAUUUUCCUUUCCCUUUUGAUAUUCAAUUUCAUAAUCAAAACCCAACAAAUUAGCUAACCAUAGGUGUUGAGAAGGGUAGGAUAUCUUCUGUUUCAGGAGAUAUUUGAGACUAACAUGAUUAAUAUAAAUUUUAAACUUCCUACCCCACAAGUAGUGUCUCUAUUUGGAUAUUAUAUAUAAAAUAACUAACAUUUUCCUCUCAAGAUUGGACAAGGCUUGUUGUAUUUUCCCUAAAAAUUGCUAAUAUAAGCUAGAUGGUGACCUUCCUGUAUUAGUACAACACCUAUUCUUACUCUAGAAGCAUUUAUGUCAAUCACAAACUCCUUUUUGAAGUCUGGUAGAACAAGAACAAAAGGUUUAAUCAUUGUUACUUUCAACAGAUUAAAAGCUUCUUUUACUUCUGAAUUUCAUUAAAAAAUUUCCUUUCUUAGCAAUUGAGUCAGAGGUUGGCAAAUAGAUUCAUACCCCUUAACAAACUUUCUAUAGUAACUAGUAUGGCCCAAGAGGCCUCUUAACUGCUUGAUAGUCUUUGGUAUUGGCCAUUUUAACACUACUUUAAUCUUUUAUGGAUCUGUAGAGAUUCCCUUUUUGGUAAUGUUGUGCCCCAAGUAUUCCACUUUGUCACUACCAAAUAUACAUUUAUUGUUUUAGCCACUAACUCAUGUGUUCUUAGCACUUUUAACACUGUUUUUAUAUGUUCCAAAUCUCAGCCCUUGAUUUGCUGGAAAUCAAGAUGUCAUCAAAUAAAACCAACAAAAAUCUUCUAAGAUGAGGUAUGAAUAAGUCGUUCAUCAAACUUUAAAAUGUAGUUGGGGCACUAGUCAGCCCAAAACACAUGACCACAAACUUAUAAUAAUCAUUAUAAGUCCUAAAACUCUUUUGAAUACAUCUUCAAAAGCCAUUUUUAUCUAGUGAUAGCCACAUUUAAGAUCAAUCUUGAAGAACAACUUAGUUCCCACCAAUUCUUCCAGUGGUUCAUUAAUCAAAGGUAUUGGAAACUUGUCCUUGAUUGUUAGUUUGUUAAGAGCUCUGUAAUCCAUACAUGGUCUUAACGAGAUGUCUUUAUUAUUAAUUAGAACCAUAAGUGAUGUAAAAGGGUAGUACUAGGAUGAAUUAUCUUGUAUUCUCCAUUUAAAAUUCUUGCAUAUUGUUGUGCAAAUAUAGUCCCUUUAUUGGCUGCCUUAACUAAUAAUGGUCUAAUAGUUACUAAACUACAUUGCAACCUAUAAAAAAUUCUUGAAUUGAUGAAGUUCUGUGUGCUUCUAGAAUCAACCAUGAUAAAAAUAAGAUGUUUGUCUACCUUACCUGUGACCUUCAGGGUAUGAAAACUAGCAGUCCUUUCCAAAGCAUUGAUGGAUAUAUGGGGAGUAACCACUUUAGUGUUUGGCUCUAUUCUUUUAUUAUCACAUCCAUCAAUAAGGUAAAUGGAAUAAAGUCUUUUGUUCAUGCAUUUAUAACCAAGGACAAAUCAUUCAUCACACUAGAAACAUAGACCUUUUGCCUUUCUAUCUUUCCAUUCCUUAUUUUUUGAUGGCUUAGUAGGUUUCACAUAAGGAUUGAUAGUAUAAUUUAUAUUGGGAGGAGGUAAUAUGCCCACUUUAUGGGUGUUUUGGAGUAUUGUAUGUAGAUGUUGGAAGGUUUCUAUAAUUGGAUUGAGGGGAGUUUAUUUUUAUGUGGUUAAGUUAAUUUUAGGAUUGAGUAGAGAAGAGAGUAUUUGUUUGUAGUCUAGAUAUAUUGUAAGCUUGUUCAAGGGUUUCUGACUUAAACAUUUUGACUAGGUUUUUUUAUCUUAAUUUCCAGCCUACCUACAAAGAAUAAUAAUGCUUGUUUCUUAGAAAUUUCAGCUUUAUUUUAUAGUAUAUCAAAGUCUUGUAUAUAAGACUCUAAACUUACCAUUUGCCUCAUAUCCAUUAACUCUUAUAACAGUUCUUUCUGACAAUCAAACCUAGCACACAAUGCCUCCACAUAAUCAUUCCAAGUUAUCUCAUGAUUACUAUUACUUCUUAUCAGAUUUUAGUGCCAAUAUAAGGUUAUACCAUCCAAGUAAUACGGUAUUAAUUUCAACUUCCCAGACUCCUUUAUCUCUUCCACCUCAAAGAAUUGAUUGCACUUAUAAAGCUAUUUGUGUACAUCUUCUCCUUCAAACCCUGGAAAAUCUCGUAUGGGCUUGUGUAACUUGGGGUAACUAUACCCUCUUUCACAUGUCUAAUAAGUCUUGGCACCAGAGUUGACCUCCUAGAAAACUUAUUUGUCUUUGGUAGUGUUAGAUGUAAUUGUGGGUUAUUUUAAGGUCUGUAUAAGAGAGGUUUUCUAACAAGCUAACCCACUAAUAAGGUUUCUUAACUAUAUAAAUCCAGCUUCGUGUGAUGACCUGGUGUCCUCUAGUUUUCUAUUAUAAGAUUUCAGCAGCUGCAUCAUCAGUUUAUGUUUAUGUGCUUGUUACUUAUUAAUAGAUUCAAAUGAAUCCUUUAGUCUCUUAAUGUUUGGGGAUUGAGUGUCAGGCUUCAUUACUCAAUUCUGAAAAGCAAAAGAAGCUCUAAUACCAUUUGGAGCGAGCUUAAUUAAGAUCAUUCCUACUUGGAAUGAAUCCAAGUAAUUGGGAGCAAUUGAUAGAUCAAAAGGUAAUACUAGCAAAAGAAUAUGAGUAAACCUUCACCAUGUUGAGAGAGAAAAGAAAGAAAAGAAAGAAGAAGAAAAAUAAGAAGGAAGAGAGAGAGAGAGAGAGAGAGAAAUUCCUGUAAUUGUUAAAUUAUUUAUUCAUACAGAAUGUUUGUUAUAGAUAUAGCCGAAAAGACUAACAAUUAAUUAACAAACUCUUAGCUGGAGUUGCUACUAAAGUUAAUAGUGGUAAUAGUGGCCAUGUAGGCUAUUGAUAUUGUUUCUAUUAACAAAAAUAAAAUAAUGCAUUUUCUUAACUCCCAACAAUAACCAAACAUUAUGUUUCAAGACAUCCUAUUUAAAAACAACUAACAAUCAUUUUAUUCAAACCUCACUAGCCCUAAUUCCCUAAUUCUUCCUUUGCCUCAAGAAUGUUGAGCUGCAAUAAAAUUCGGCCUAAUUUUAUCAAUCUCAAUCAUAAUUGAGCUAAAAACAUCUUGAAUUUAUCCAAAAUUGAUACGCCCAAUACUCCUGCAUAUGAUACACCAAGUCAUCUUGUGCUAGCGUAGUAAAUAACAAAAACACGCACGAAUUCAAAUCCUUUUCAUCAUUCGCCGUCAUAUUUAAAGAUUGUGAAACACAGAAUUCCCUCAUUGAAGGGUGAAUUGGGGAUUUUCUUCUCAUGGAAAACCAACUGAGAAAAUUACUAUUGCUACUAGUAUUAUUUUUGUUAGUUGUUGUUGUUGAGGAGAGGAAUCAAUGGAGAGUGACGAAGUCAACUUGGCUGAGUGAGUCAUAGAAGAAAAGAGGGAAAUCAGGGCAAAAUAAGAAGGUAAUUGUGGCUAAUAGGUUGGAAUUUGGGUUUUAGAAAGUGUUAUUGUUGGUGAGGGUAGAAGGGGUGAGUUGGGUUACGCGGUCGAAUAAGAGACCGUCCAUGUCGCCGAGGGAAAUUGUGAUUCGGUGCAUCAAUACAAAUAAUAUAGGGCCUGGUAUUGUAGUUUUUUUUGUAAGGGAAGAUCGUUAAUGGCGAGAGAGGAGAUGGAGGAGAGGACUAAUAGGUAUUGGGAGGCACACUGGACUUUGGUUGAGAGAGCGAGUUAGAUAUGAUGUUGUUUUAACUAUUGGGUAACGUGUUCGGUUUGAGAGAAAAAAAAGAAGGGUAGGAAAGAGACGUUGUUAGGUUUUUACUUUUCAAUUGUUUAGAGAGAGAAAGAGAGGGAGACUGUGAAACAAUAAUUAAGAUGUUAAUAGUCUUAUUUUGGUGUGGUCUACGUAAGAUGUUUUGAUUUAUUUAUUUUUUAAAUUCUCCAUGUUAAUGUAGGGAGUAAGAUUCUAAAAUUGUUUGUAAAGAGACUUAAUUUUAAUUAACACACAAACUAGUUUGUGUUUAAAAGUAUCUUUUUUAUUAUUGAGAAAAAAUCAAUUAAAAAAACAAAUAUUCAUGCAUUCUUAUAAUUUAAAAUCUCAUUUUAUAAGGUAAAAAGUAAUCAAAACAAGCUAAAACAUUCACUUGUUAAACUUUUUCUCCAUUGAUGGACUUCUUGUAAAACUUUGUCACUAGUUAUUGAAAUUUCCUCUAGAUUUUUUUUUAAGUGUAAAACUUGACGGUGUAAAAUGGACAACAAUGACUAUGAUUGUAACUUAAUUUGCUGCCAAAUCUACUCAAUAUCAAACCCAUCAAUCAAAUGUGAUUAAAAAGCAAUUUAAAGACAAGUAGAUUUAUUGAAGAGAAGAUAUGUUUACAGGCUGUGUGUGCUAUUUCAAAUAAAAAGGGUGAUGGUGCUAGCCAUAGUUGUGGGUUUGUAGAUUUUAGAAGAAAAUGAUGAGUGAGGUUUAAUAGUUGAUGUUGUUGAGGUUUUAGGUUCUUUUCUCUUUAUGUAAUUCCAAAAACCAAAGUAAAUAUGAGACUUUCACUAAUUUCUUCAUAAUCCCUCAUUUCACUCCCCGCUCUAUUAAAAGCUCGGGAUUCCUACCUUCACAACUUGAACUCUCUAUUAACCUUAUCUUAAAACCCUCAUUUUUCUAGGAUCCUAAUCCAAACACUAAUUUUGCCAAAAAAUCAUUAUUUUUCCUGGAAAAUCCACAUUAGCCUUAUAAUAUUUGAUUUUGAUAGAAACUCAUGUCAUAUAAGUCCUCCCAAAUCACAAAAACGAUCCAUAAUCUAUCAAAUGCCACAAUAACCCAAUCUUAGAAUCUCCACCUUCCCACCUUCUUAAUCCAUUGAAAGAUACAAUUCAAUGACGAUAUUGAUUGUUUUAAUUCUUCUUAAUCCAUUGAAAGAUACAAUUCAAUGACGAUAUUGAUUGUUUUAAUUCAUUGAUUGAGAAAUACCUAGUUCCUUGUCUUAAUGUUAUGAAUAUAAUUUUAAGUGAAUUAAUUAAGAAAAGUAUGAUAUGUGAAUUUGAUAACAAAGUUGUAAUACUUAAUAUGAGGGCUUUUUAAUCAUUAAUUGGAAUAUAAAGACAAUCUUGUAAGUAAUCCGAACUUUUUUGUUGGCUUUUUUUCCGCUUAUGUCAGUGAGGAUGUAAAGUUUUAUACAACUUUACAAAUUAUUUUGACUAUGAAUAUAAACUGUAAUCUUCAAAAAAAUGAAACAAAGUGAAAAAAACAAGUAUAUAAAAGGAUGAGGGUAAUUUUCCUUUUUAUUAAUUAAAUAUCUUAAUUACUUCAUUCAUUCAUUAAUUAUAUAAUCUAGCUUAAUUAUCUAUGAAUCUUAUUGAAUCUCUUAUGUUAUUGAAAAUUUACUAUGUUAAUUUGGAUAACACCACCUUUUUCUUUCAAGUGAUCAUGAAUAUAUGUACAAUAUUUUUUUUUCAACAAAACUAAUAGGAAAUACCAAUAAAAAGUGAAACAUUGUACAAAAGCAGUUGUUCCUCCAACAAGAUGUUAUUUUAAGUAAAGGAAGAGCAAUAUCAUAAUAUUCUAGCGCUUGGACAUUAUGAGGCACUUGGCUAAACUAAUACAUGGACCAUCCUCUUCCCUGAUCUGCAAGAUGUCAAAAACAGUAGAAGCUGAGUCCAAAGUGGCAGAAUCCAGUGCUAUCUCAUUGAUAAGCUCUAAACAGAAUGACUCUAUACCCAGCAAGCUCCAUUCCCGAGAUUUAAUCCAGCUUAAUGCCUCAACUGCAAAAGCUUCCAUAGUUUCAGGACUUGCCACUGAAUUAAAAAACAUAUAGCCUUUGCAGCAACGAAAUUGCCAGACGAGUCUCGUACCACAUAGCCAAAACCACCAUUUCUGGAGCCCUUGUGCCAAUUUGCGUCAACAUUACAUUUUAAAAGCCCAAACUCAGGAACUUGAUUCAUUGCAUGUGAGGGAGCCGAGAAGGAAUGAUGAAAAUCCGACUCCAAUGCCACUGAGUAUUCCAAAAACUGUGCAUUGGCUAACUCCAGUACUCCACUUUUGAUAACGGAUAAGGCUGAACUCCUCUUAAAACCAACUCAUUCCUCUGCUUCCAAAUUCUCCAAUAAAAAUGGUUUGAUCAUUAUGAAAGGGAUCAUAAGAAACAACAUCAAUACCAUUGUACCAAAGCAACUUCCCGGCAUGUGCAGCAACAUUGCUAAGACAAUAGCAUUCUGUACCAAACAGAAGAGUAUCAUUCCGUUCUCUAGCCUCAGAACAAUAUAUAUCCACGGAUAAACGAUCCUUUACACACUACCUUAAAUUGACUUUCAUAUUGUUGUCCUUGCCUAAUCUUUGACAAUUUGGCUUACAAACGAAUCCGAAAAAGAGCAAGCCGAAUCUGUAUUUUUUUUUCUUUCCUGACAGGAGCUGGAGGGAGAAGAAGCCGUUGCAUUGUGAAGGGAUUACGUACAUAUAUAAUGAGUAUCCGUGUAAAGCAUACAAUACUGUGCUUUGCUCGGCAAAAUAAUAAAUCAUUGCAUGAAGCCGCAAUAGAAACAGAUUCCCUUUCAUCUGGAAGGAAUUCUAAUGGGGAGUUUAAAUAUAUAUCUUUUGUACCAGUUAUAGUAAAAAGCUUUUUUUUAAUCUCUACUAGUAAUAAAGAGAAUAGGAGGAAUUUGACAUGCAGCAUGAUGAUAUAACUGGUGGUUUUGUUGCUGACAUUGAUAUAAAUUUCUCAGCAAAAUAGGGAGUAGAAAUUAGUGACCACCACCUUUAAGCCACGGGCAGAUUUUGCGGUUGGAAGUCGAUGUAGAGUGAAACCAACAGAUUGCUAAAUCUCUAGUUGUUCUUGAUUAUGAACUAGCCUUUUGCUUUUUCAUUGCUGCUGCUUCUGCUGAUUUAUCUUCCGUUUGCAAGGUCUCCAGCCAUUAGGGUUUUUCUUCGGUACUCAGUGUUAUGACAGGGCGCAAGGAGAAGGUCUCUUUUCUUUUUAUCAAGUAAGAUAAAGGAUACUUAAAUUGCAUGUAUACAAGGAUUCUUUUAUAGAAUGAAAUUCCCUAUCAGCUUACUUGAACACAGCUUGUGAAAUGUGACAAGUUUGCUUAUUUGAGAUUUCUUCUGUUUACCUACAGAAUAAUGAAUUGAAAGAAUACAUUAUUAUUAUCGCAAGAAAAAAGAUUACAUAUUUCCAACAGAACUCUCUAACUUGUAUUUACUUAUAGUAACCAAGAAUAUAAGAAUUAAAGAAUUUGAGAACUACAAUACAUAUUUCCAACAGAACUCACUAACUUGUAUUUACUUACUUAUUAUAGUAACCAAGAAUAUAAGAAUUAAAGAAUUUGAGAACUACCCUCCUAUGAUAGACCUUGUAAACCAACCAAAAAAAAGAAACAAAACAUUAUUUCUUGCACAUACAAAAAAUAUACGACACUCUCUACUCAGUCGUCGGUACUUUGGCUCCAUCAUCAGCAGGAGCAGCAGCUAGCUCUGGCUUAAUCUCCUCAAGUUGCUGAACAACUUCUUCGGCUUCAGGACGAGCAGUUGGUGUGGGAUCAACACAAUGCAGAGCUAAUUUCAAUGUGUUAAGUAACUCAUCACCUAUAGUUUGUGAAUCCCUCACGAGCUCUAAAUCAAAGAUUUCAUUAGUCCACUCCUCCUUCACAAUGGAUGCAACCCAUUGAGGCAAAUCCAUGCCAUUCAUUGGUUCACCUGGUGAUUUCCCGGUCAGAAGCUCCAAAAUGAUCACUCCAAGGCUGUAGACAUCAGUCUUUGUGUUGGCAUUCUUGAGUUUUGAGAGCUCUGGUGCACGAUAGCCAAGUGUUCCAACAGUGGAAAUCACGGUGGUGUUGGCAGUAGUAGUCAUGAGCCUGGAGAGGCCAAAGUCCGCAAUGUGAGCAUUAGUUUGCUCGUCGAGUAAUAUGUUGCUUGAUGUGAGAUUCCCAUGAAUGAUCUCCUGCUGGGUGUGGAGAUGGUUUAGUCCACGCGCAACACCAAUGGCUAUGUUCAUCCUUGUUGGCCAAUCGACAGCGAUUUCAGGCCCACGAGCUGCAAACAAAUGAUUUUAAACCAUAAUUGCUCCUGAUGGUUAGGAAUUUGCAUAGCAUGACUAGGCAGUUGUUACUCAAAAUUAUCAAAAAGCAGAAACAGAACAAUAUCAAAUUCAUCACUCAAAGUUUUAUCUUUCUAUGUCCAACUAUUUAUGUAGAACACAAUCAUCAUUAACUCUCUCUUCUUUUGGGAUAUUCAAGGAAGCACACAGUUAUGAAUGGAUUAUGAGUCUGAACAGGAUCAUAAUUUCUUUUUCAUUCAAUAAGCUUCCAAUGCUUAAAUCUUGUUAAUUAGAAUGUAUUGCAAAUGUUUUUAACACCUUCAGGGUGGAGUCUCAUGUGACUUAAAAUUUCCAGCUAUUAAAUUUUUCAUUUCAUCCUUGAUCUUUAAUUCCUUGCAAUCAAUGGUCAUCAAUCCAUCAAAGCAUAAAAGACAGUUCUUACUCAAAAAUCAUCUUUUUACACCAAAACUAUGCAAUACAAGUUCAAUGCUAUCAUCAAGAAUCUGUUUUGGUUAUUCAGAGUUUAUGAAAGCAAGCUAUUAUAAAUGAAUAAUUACGAGCAGACAGAAUUUGAUAUAUGUAUGCACUGAUACAAUUGGUGGAAUCAACUUACCAUGGAGGUAGGAUGCAAGACUCCCUAUGGGCAUAUAGUCAAAAACAAGAAGCUUCUCUCCCUUGGGACCCAAAUAAUAGGCCCUCAGUGCUAAGAGAUUCGGGUGCCGAAUCUUACCGAGAGCAGCAGCCUCUGUUUCAAACUCCAUCUGCCCCUUUGUAGUCUUCUCCCUCAACCUUUUCACUGCAACUUGACUGCCAUCCUCUAAUGUUGCCUUGUAAGCUGUUCCAUAACUACUCUUCCCCAUUAUCUCCGCAGUUGCACACAACAAAUCAUCUGCUGUAAACACAAAUUGCCCAUCAAAGUGGACUAAUUUCCCACCCAUUUCACCUCCAGAUUCAACUUCAGGACCUGCCACAGCACCUGUCUUCUCACUUUCCCCUGGGAGCCCCCGCAUAGUAGUUUUACCAUGCUUUCCUUUUGAAGCAGACCUUUUCUUCAUCAAACAACAUAGCAGAAUGAAGCAGAGAAGAAGCAGCACAGCUAAGAGGACACCAGCUGCUAUGAGAAUAAUAUCUUUAGUGCUAAAUUUCCGGCGAUGACGUUUUGGUUCUUCUUUUGUUGGAGUUGGAAGAACUAUAGGUGGGGGUGAAAGACAUGGGGUUGAAAAGCUGUAGCCACAUAGCUGAAGAUUUCCCACAAAAGAGCUUGAAUUGAACUUCUUAGCAAGGGAAGAGGGAACAGAACCAGAAAGAUUGUUAUAAGAAACAUUGAAGUAAGUGAGAGUGGCUAGGCGAACAAGAGAAGCUGGAAUUUCUCCACUAAAAUUAUUUUGGGCUAAAUCAAGCUGGUUGACACUGGAAAUGUUUCCAAUAGAAGCUGGGAUGGGGCCUAUGAACUGAUUAUUUUUCAGGUUUAGCACUGAGAGGUUGUGUAAUCUAUCAAAACCAUCUGGGAUCUGGUUGUCGAGACGGUUUCCCUCUAGAUUCAGUGAGGCUAAAGAGGUGAGAUUGGAGAGGCUAGAUGGAAUACUUCCAUUGAAAGCAUUGUUCGAAAAAUCAAGCUUUUGAAGCCUUGAGAGACUCCCCAUUUCAUUGGGUAUGGCCCCGGAAAGCUUGUUAUGACUAAGAGAAAUCUCUUGAAGUAAAGCCAACUUGUUAAGACUAACAGGAAUAGUUCCAGAAAUGAGGUUAUGAUCAAGGAUCAAGAACUGAAGGUGAUAAGAAUAGUUUCCUUUUCUCCCCCAAGUAUCCGGGAUUGACCCAGAGAGGUAGUUGUGUUGGAGAGCAAGAACUAUGAGAGAAGGGGACUGAGUAAGACUAACUGGGAUCGACCCCAUUAAUGAAUUAAAGCUCAGAUUAAGUCUAUAUAACCUUGUAGAAUUCGCAAGACUAGGAGGAAUUGCGCCAGUGAGAGAAUUGUUACUUACAUCAAGAGUCAGGAGAACAGGACAGUUACCAAUGGAAGGAGGGAUAGAACCCGAAAGUCGGUUGUUGAAGAGGUAAACCCCUCUAAGAUUGUGAAGCAAACCAAGAGACCUAGGGACAGUACCACCAAGUACAUUGUCAUGCAAACUAAUCUUUCUGAGUGCUUGAAGCUGGCCAAUCUUCUCAGAGAUUCUGCCACCUAGUCCCUUCCAAGGAAGCUGGAUAGCAAUAACUUGUCCUUUGACACAUUUGAUUCCUGCCCACCGACCAGAGCAAGCUCCAUAUCCACUACCAUUCCAGCUUCGUAAAAACCCUUUGAAGUCGACUAGUUCAUUCCUUAUAGCUCGAAGAGCUUGAUAAUCUGCUCGGGUGACCAUUACACCAUCCCAUUUUUGGCUUGAAGCAAAUUGGGGCAAAAAAACCAGUAGAAACAAGCACAAGUGUGUGUAAAGAAAGUACUUGUCGCGGAAGUGACAAGUAUUUUCCAUGAACAAGUUCAAGAAACAAAAAAAAAAGUUGAAAGAACUGAAGAGAGUUUCUAAGAAUGUCCGUGCUCUCCUCUCCUGAACAAUGAGGGGAAAGUUUGGUCUGUUAGGGAGCAAUGUGAGGGAGGAGAUAAGGGAGAUACAAAAGGAGGCAGAGUUAAGGUCCUUCACUGUUUUGGCGUUAGUUUCUCCUGCUUCUAACGGCUAGUUUUCCUCGUAUUGUAUACAAUAUGUUUCAUGAGCUGAACCAGUCUUCUUCCCUGACCGGGACCCUUCACUUACAACGGCUACAUUUCUUGGUCCAGGGGGACAUAACACACAUGCUUUUACUCUUGGUCAAAAUCACAAAUUUGCCACUGUAAACUAGCAUCUGGCCUCGAGGCAAUUUUUGGUAGAGCAAGGCCCCUUUGGCAUUGCCGCUAGUUUUCUCCUGCUUUUAACUAUAUUUUAAAAAAAUUCUAAUUUUUUUUAGUUUAAAAUCAAUUUAUUUUAGUAUUUUUACUUUUUAGAUUGUUUUGAGAUGAUAAUGAUAAAAAUAAAUUAUAAAAAAUAAAAAAUAAAAAAUAUUAUUUUAAUAUAUUUCCAAACAAAAAAUACUUUUAAAAAAUUCUUAAAUUCAUUUCCAACUACCUUAAUUAUUUGUAAAUCAUGAGAACACUCAGUUUUAUGUGUCCUUUUUACUAGGUUAAAAUCAUGAAACUCAAGCUUUUGUCUGCAUGCGGCCCUCUGGAGUCUGGACACAUUGCUCAAGCGAUCAACAGACAGGUUUGCUCUUUGUUAUCACCAAACUUGGGGGCAUCGCUCCAGAGUCUAGGCCUCUUGAUUGCAUUGAUGGAUAUUUUUGGACUAAAUAAUUGAUUACUUGUUAUAAAAUUGCAUUUUCAGCUUUAGAAAAAUAUAUAAAUCCGCGGCCACAAGCCACACUGCACUUCCCGUGAAUGAAAACCUUGUUAAGUCUUGAAUCAAUAGUUGUACCGUCACAUUUCAAAAUUUAAGCCUGGCAUAAAAGCCCACUGAGAUGAGACUUAAACUCCACCACCAAUUUCCAAGCGGCAAAGGAGAACUGAAUUUAAUCGUUGAGAAUAGAGCCAUGAACCAUAGUAGGUGUAGGGCAUCUUCCUCCAUGUGACUGCAGACUUGAGAGUUAUGGGUUUAGAAAGGAGCAUGAGAUAUGGGUCUCUGACUUGCAGACCCAGGAAUCCAACUUGAGAUUUGCUAGGUUUAAAUUACAAUGCUGAAGCAAAAACCAACAGCAAUAACCCUUUUUAAACUUCAGAAAAUCAAAAUGAAACGAACAAUCAUGCAAGCAUGCUUUCUCAACAAAUAAAAAAAAAAAACUUGCUGCAUCACCUGCAUGCAGACAGCAGGCUUCUUGAGCACAGCAAAAUUGAUACAUUCAACUGUAACAAAAGAGCAGGGUGACUAAUAGAGAAAAGAAGGAUCGAUAAGGAUCAAGAUCAUCUUGCGGGACCACUUCUCCACCAAAAAAACUGGUUAUACGUAUCUGAAUUAAAUUUAGAUUCCAAUAUAAUUAAGCACAAGGCAUAGUCACAAUCACCACACUGAAAAGAAAAGCCCCAUGCAAUUCAGAUCGUGCUCAAAUGAGUUUGCAGUGAGUUUACGAGAAUUUUUGUCAUCCGUUCUCCUCAGUAACUUCAUUCGACAACAUGGAGAGUAUAGCCUGUAAAGAAGGUUAUUAAUGAAGCAAAAGGAACAAGCAAACAUCAUCAUACAAGAAGUCUGCAAAACCCAUCCCUCAUUGGCAAAAAUUAUAGCUAGUGGUUCACACAAUAUGGAUCCAUUGAAGCCUAAGAAGACAGGUUGCAUGCUUGCAAAAAUAAGGAGCAGUGCUAUUCUUCAAGAAUCCAUGGAAAGGAUGUUAACUUUUAAGUCAAUAUUGACUAGUUGUAAGUUUAAUAUACCCACCAAUCCCACUGUCAAGCUGCUACACACACAUAGACCUCAUAGAUACCCCGGGCUCAAACCUAGAUCGUAAUACCCACUAAAUUAGGCAAUGUAUGGUCAGAUCAAUCAACCUGGCCAUUGCAUAUAGCUGGAGCUCAAUCAACAAGCAAGCACACCUGCAAACUAGAGUAAAUAAAGCACAGCAAAAUCAGAAGAACACACUUCCAAGACAGCAAUAAAUCAGAUGGCAAGCAGCAAAUAGCCUGUUUCAGAUUAUACUAUCAACAUGACGCAAGUUCCGUUACAUUGAUCUCAAAAAAGGAUAAAGAGGAAAGUAGUGUAUUUAGACCCCAUCCUAAGAUCGACAAAAUCACAAGUUUAACAUAGAAUUGAUCCAUUUAAGCCUACAAUUAUUUGCAUCUAAGGGAAUGCCAAAUAGAGAAUAGCAGGUGCAGGUUAGCGAGCAACGAAUCCAAAGGAGACCACCGUAUCUAAGUACGCCCUGAAUUGCAGGACUGCUACAGCACUUGAUGCAAUUUCCCCAAAUCCUGAAUAUUUGAUUGACCAUGCAUUCCAAUUAGACUAUCUAGAAAGUUCAUCAGCAAUCCCAGCCAUUGGACUCUGCCGGUAAGAUCACAACUAUCUCCUAGCCGUGCAUGACCAGGAAGAUCCCAUGCAUCUGUCUACAACGUACAUCAAAUAUGAACCAUCCAAUCACUUAUAGACAAGAUGCAAAUUCAGUAAUCUUCAAAUCAAACUAAUUACAGCCCAAUCAUAUGAAUUGCAUCCUAAAAAAAUGAAGGAAGGAAAGAAUUUAUAGAUCCGUUUCCACAAUUACAAAAUCCAAAAAAAAGAAGACAAUUUUAACCAUUAUUCAUAUAAAUUCUGUAUUUAUUUCAUCUAUCAAUUUAACCAAUCCUCAAACACGGGCGGCUGCCACAAGAGGCGCCGCAGAGGAAACAACAUUGGAGGCAGCGCUGCCGAGGAAGGAAGACAAGAAGCCAGUGUUUGCAUUUUCUGGAACGUCGUCCAAGAAAAGAUCCUCAGGAACACGAAAAGCACCAUGAGCACAAACGAUCCCAACACCGACCAAAAGCGCCGAUAUUAUCACAGAUCCGACACUAGUUAGAAAAACCACGAAAACACUCAAUGCAAUCAGAAUCCCGAGCGUUUCACGGUCACUAUAAGUCCGGCCGAAGAGGACCAAAGGCUGAUCCGAAGCGCGGAAGAGAUACAAGAAAAGCCAAGAACAGAGCAGGCCGAGGAGGAGGAGGAGAGAGAAAGGGUGAGAAAGGAGGGAAAAUGCGAGGAUUACGGAAAUAGCGGUAAGAUAGUUGAUGCGGAAGUAGGAGUAGUUUUUACGGAUGCGAGUUGUGGCUUCGGAUAUGGAUUCAGGUUUAGAGAAAGCGGAUCGGUCGAUUAGUUCGGAAAAGGGGCGGCGUUGGGCGAAACCGUUGCGGACGGAUUCGGUAAUGUUGUUGAGGAAUGCGCGGAGGGCGUGUGGAGGGAGAGGUGGUUGGGAGGCGGCAGCGGCGGGUGGUUGUUGCUGGUUUGUGAUCGGGAGGACUGGCGGAGACUGGGAUGACAUUGUGUAGAUUUGUUUUUUUAUUUGGGGAGGGGGAAGGGAAUUUAGGGAGGGGUAAUUUAACGGAUAGGUGAAAAGAAAGGGAGUUAGAUAUUUUAUUUUAUUUUACGGUGAUUGCUUGCUUUCCUUCUUUAUUACGGUUCAGCACCGACACGGACCUAAGACCUUCCUUCCUGUCAAUUCACUAAUAAGAAGUUGACAUAUCAGCUUUCUUGGUAUGUGCUUAGUUUCCGGGCUCUUUCUGCUGGAAGGAAGGGUUAUAUUAGGGAAGCCCAAUGGGCUUGGAUUUAGGUCUAACUUGACCCGGGUAUUACGGGGAACUUGGGGUCAUACAAGAUAUUUACAAAAUAAUCAGGCUUACAUUAUCCUUACCUAGAAUUUGUAAUUCCUAAUGUAGCAUGGGGGAGUAGUUGAACUUAGUUGUUUGGUUUAAAGUCGCUAGAAAACUCGAGUGUACUAGUUUUAUUAGAAAUUAAAAGGAUAAGAGAUUGAUUGUGGUUAGAGAAUGUAUUAACACUCUUAACACACCCUACUUGAGAUAAACUAUAUUACGUGGUUUGAAUGUGGUUUAAUGGUUUUGAUGGGUUUCUAACUUACUAUCUAUCUAUGAUUUAAGAUUGAGGUUUAUUUGUAUGAAUAAAUCCGGUGUUAAGAAUUUAUUAUGGACUCGUAUACCCAAAUAAAUUUUUAUAAAAAAAAUUUUCUGUAAUUCAUAUAUUGCGGUGAAAAAUACUCUUAAUUAAAAUUGAUGAAUAUUUAAAAUAAAUCUGAGAAUUUUUUGGUCAAAUCUUGAUAUUUAAAUAUCAACCUUAAUUGUGAGUCCAACAUUUAUACAAGAAUAUUGACUACUAAUUCUCACAAAUUAAAAUUUUAGUUAUUAUUGGAAUAUUGAUCAAAUUCUCAUAGAUUCAAUAAACUGAUUAUUAAAUCUAAAAUGCAUGCUAAAAAAAAAUUAAACAUACCAUAUAUUUUAUUUUACGAGAUAUGAUUUUGUAUUUUUUUAAGAGACUUAGUUGUAUGUAACACGCAGAAAGAUAUUAUUUUUUAUUAUUUUUUUUGUAUUUUUGUAAGACCAUAUUUGGCCAAAAAAAACAUUUUUUCUUGAAAUGAAAACUACACAAAACAACCCUUAAGGGUGUUUGUCAAAUAAACCCUUAAACCAAAUAAACCUUAACAAAAAAGACAGCAAACCAAACAGGGCCUAAGGACGACAUGGUUUUGACCUGACUAGAUUGACCCGAAAACAAACCAAAACAAAGACUCAAAACCAAACCAAAACAAAGACCCAAAACCAAAACAGAUUAAACAUAACAAAAACAUGAAAACUCAAAAUCUUUCAAACAAAAUGGAUCGAACAUGAAAAAAUAAAGAACACGAAGAACAUUUAAGUGUGAACCCAACAAAUUUGAGUGUCUUUUACAAGUUGAUAUUUGGUCUCUGAUUUGUUCAAUAGGACCCCUAGAUGACCACCAAACUUUUAAUUUUAUUCAAUUUGACCCUUGAUUUCACUGAUUUCAGUCCUCGAAGUCGCGUGCCUUUUGCAAGUUGGCCCUUGGUUUAUAAAUUGUUCAAUUAAGUCCCUAAUUGUCUAUCAGACUUUAAUUUUUAUGCAAUUAAGCCCUUGAUUUGACCAAUUAAACUUUUCAAAGUCCAAUUUCAGUUCCCAAACUUCUAUUUGUUUCAAUUAACAUCCAAAUUGACUCUAAAAGUUGAUUUUCCUUGCGAUUAAGUCCUCAAUAAAUUUAAUUAAAUCUUCCAAAAUUUCAAUUGAGUCCUUAAACAUCCAAAUAAAAAUAUUUUUCAUCAAUGAGAUCUUUUGUCAAUAAAAAUUGAGUUGCUAAUUUUGUCAAAUUUGUAUAUUUUGGUCUCCUAACUUUUUACUUGUCAUUUUGGUCCUUCACCAUCAAUUUGAGCAGUCUUUUAGGCUUUCUUCAUGUGUACUCUCUUAUAUUUUUUUUGAAUUUUUUUUUGCUGUAGGGUAAAAAAAUAGGUAACAACACCUAAUUUAGUCAAAGUCGCUAAAACUUUGCACAUGCUCUCUCUUAAGACACCUGAAAUCCAAAAUCAAAAUUCAAAUCAUUAAAACAAAACAAAAAUUCAAUUUGAACCCUAAUUCGAAAAGGAAAAAAUAAAAAAUCACCACUAAUUUUUGUGGACUUCCCUAUGCAGCCUCUUCUUUUUUGAUGUGGCCUUGCCUUUUUUUUCUUUAGUUUGGUCAUCUUUUUUGGAAGCAUUUGAAAAUGCGGGCUAACUUGUUUUUCUAAAAAUUAAAUUUUUUUGUUAAAAAUUAAAAAAUUUUAUAUGUUUUGGAUCGUUUUGAUGCGCUGAUUUUAAAAAUAAUUUUUUAAAAAUAAAAAAAUAUCAUUUUAAUAUAUUUUAGCAUGAAAAGUUAGCCAGAGAUGAAUAUACGGGAGUUCAGAUGUAAAAAGAAAAGGAAAAAAACACAAGCAAGAUAUUUAAACAAUAAUAAGUAAAAAGUAAAUCAAAACAAGGCUUACAUAAUUCUGACCCAGAAUUUUUAAUUCCCAAUUCAGUCAAAGCCGCUAAAACUCCAUGUUUUCUCCCCACACUCAAAUUUCAAAAUUAAAAUUUAAAAUCAUUAAAACAAAACAAAAUUAAAUUUGAAACCCUAAUUUGAAAAGGCAAAAAAACAAAAAAAUCACCAUUGAUUUUUAUGGACUUCCUUAUGCAACCUCUUCUUUUUUUGUGUGGCCUCGCUUCUCUUUCUUCAGUCUAGUCGCCUCCCUCGUCCCUGUCAUGUUCUUUUGGUUUAGUAAAGGCAGAGGUUAAUAGAUGUGAGUUCAGAAGGAUAAGCCACAUCUCCCAUGAAAAUUAAGGAGGAGGAGAAGUACGGUGCUUUCCAUCCCUUUUAGUAUUUUUGUUAAUGUGAUCUUACCAUUCGUCUGCUUUUAGUUAAUCCGAUUACAAGUCAUUGAACAUAUUUUCUAAUAUUUUUGUUUUAUUGUAUCCAACAGCUUAAAACAAGAGAAGAAAUGUGAUACAAAGAUGGCCAGAACAUAGAAUAGAAACAAACAAGAAUAGUUCAUGCUCGCCACUCUAAAAUGCAAAAUCAUUGAAAUAAAGAUACAAAUUUACUCACCAAUUUAGAAAUACAGAGUUAUGAAAUAAAAGUACCACUCGCAAGGAGAUGUAGAACUAAAUAGGGUGUCAAAAAGGGCAAACAAAAAACUUUUCAAUUCAAAUUCUACAAAAGAUGCUUAAUAUAUGAUUUGAAUAUUCAUUAUAUACUUGGAAUAAUCUUCUAAGUCUAAAGAUAAACUAAAAUGACAUAAUUGCGUUCAGAAUAAAUGAUUUUUACAUAAAACUAGAUAAAUAAUACUUAGCACACAUUUUUUACUUAUUAAAAACAAACAAAUACAUGGAAAGCUUAAAAAAUAAAACAAUCACAACUCCUACAUAAUUUUAAUAUAUGCAUGAUUGGAUAAUAUAAAAAGAUCACGUUUUGAACUUUAAAAUCACAAAAUAGACUUAUUUUCCCAUGCAAUGAAUCAAAGUUGAUUCAUAGGCUGAUAAUAAACAACAUCAAGAACUUCAUUCAUCCAUCUACAUUACCAAACCAAACUCAUGUAGCUCAACAUCAAUAGGAUCAUUAGAGAACACUCUCAUGUUCAAAAGGUGCAUGCAGUUAGAAAACCAAUAUUAGGCUAAAUCAUGCAAUAAGCCCCUAGCAAUUUGGUUUAGAAUAUGCUCAGACCAUUACCUUAGGCUUACAAUGCUAACUCCUCUAGCUCCAUUGAGAAGUCUUUACCAUCUGGAAGAUGGGAUUGUAGAGAGACCAACAGAAAUAGUUGUUCGGAAUUUUAGAAAGGAUGAGCAUCAUACAAACAGAAAGGAUGCAUGUAAACAAGCGGGUGCCAAGGCACUUUGAAUUACAGUUUUUGAUUCACGUAUUAUCAUUUUAAACUGCCUGAACAAGAAUCCAUAACCAGUUUAAGAUCGUGGAGAUGCAAAGUCUAAUAAAGCAAUGCUGAGCAUGUCAAAGAACAUUCAUUGGUGAUUAAACGGUUAUUUAGACUAAGAUUUCACGCAAACAUAUUGUUUUCCCAUAAAAGAGGCACAGUUUAAAAGCUUUCACGUUCUAGAUAUCAUAAGCCUAGACAAAAACAGAAAUAUUCUACUUAAUCAAGUUUCUACAAUAGUAAAACACCACAGACACAUCUGUCUGAACGCAUGGUGUCAAGUCUGAGAGCAACUCAGGUGAAAAGCUGGAUUUAGAAGGUGGAACCAUUCCAUCCAAAGUGGGAUCCCUGCAAAAUACAGCAAGCAAAAAAGCAUUAUUAGUGGCAGAAAAAACCAUAAAAUGGCAGCCAAUUUGAACAUAACCUGAGAAUAAGUUGAAUCCUCCAGGAAUUCAAUAACAGUGCUCACAGUUUAAAAACAGUAAGUGUUUAUUUACAUGAUCUACUGCUGGUGUAAAGCAUGCAAACACUGUGCAUAUUCUUGGCUUUGAUGGGCCUAAACAAACAGGAAGAAUGCAAUGAGAAGAAAUGUGUGCAUGGAAAUGAUCUAUCUUCUUGACAAUUAAAUGUUGAGAUGGCUUGCCUUGGAAUCAAAAAAUUUGAGGAAGAACCGUGACUUGGGCACCGACAGCUUCGACUCAAGAAUGGUAGCAAUUGCAGAACUCAGUUUCUUGUUCACAUCACCGCUAAGGCCACCAACAGAUACCAACUCACCAUAAGCUGCUGGCUGCUCAGUUCCUCCAAAUGCAAUUGGUACUGAGCCCUUCAACACAAUCAUCACAUACUGCACAAUCACACACAUAAAAUAGUUAACAGACACAUCCAGUGAGCAAAAUAUGGUAUCGAUCAAUGCAUAUUAUGAGCAAACUGUGGUAUCAAUCAAUGCAAAUAUGCAACUUCCUUCUAGGUUGUAAAAAUUUGAAAAAUAACAGACAUAAAAGCACAAAAUAUUGAAACAAGGAGGUUUGCAGGUGUAGGUGUACAAAACACAAUUCCCGUCCACUAUAGAGAUAAACUAGCAAAGAACAUGCAAACAGAGAUAAAAUCCAUUUCUUCUUUCAUGGCCAUAUAAGUGAUACUAGAAUCAACUGUAUUAUAAGCUACACAAGACACUGCAACCAAAUCACACUUUGACCAUCAUAGUUUCCGAGGGAACUCUUUAAAAGAGACACCUCCCAGGAAUUAAAAAGAAAAAACCCAUUGUACAGUCCAUUGUGAACACAAGAACAACUAGAUAGUAAAAACAUAAACUUAUCCAGUUCAAAAUCAAAUGAUAAACAGCCCAAUCAUAUCAAACGAUUCUAGAACCAUACCACAUCAAGAACUCAAGUAUCCAGAAAUUCUUUCCGAUGUAGUUGAUAGAAACUAUUUACAGUUAUUACUCUAUCCUUGUCACCUUGAAAAUGAGCAUACAAAUACACUUCACAGUAACCAAGAAACUUACCUCCAUUCCCCCUCCAUCAUUACAAAAACUAUUUACAAUUAUUAGUACUAACAAGCUAAAACAAUUUUAAUACCAGCUAGAACACACAUUAAUCAAACCCUAAAAACCCACUAUAAAACUUGUAGCAGGCUAAUUGUUUAAAUAGUUCAAAAUCUUUCUAUAUGCACCGAGGAACCCACAAAUAAUUUUAAUAGCCUGCAACAUUUUAACAUUUUAUCCAUAUUUCAACAAUCAAGUCCAAAAACUAGCAUGUAUUUACAAGAAUCCGAGGCAAAUGGAAAAAGAAAAUCUUACGGACUCAGGUUUGCCGAUGAUUUUGGCCACUUGAGAAGAGGCUUCAGAGAGGAUGGCGGAUGUGUUGACGCCAUCGAGAUUAACGUUGGUUGAAAUGUUCAAGCAAGGCAUUUUCUCUGUUGAUAACACACUUGUUCUGUUUGCUACUAGCCUACAUAUAUAUACCUCAGCUCAGCUCAGCUGCCUUCUUCACUGGAUUGGAUGUAUUAUUUUUUAAAAUAUUUUUUAUUUAGAAAUAUAUAAAAAUAUUAUAUAUUUUUUUAUAUUUUAAAAUCUAUUUUUAAUAUAAAUACAUUAAAAUAAUUUAAAAUUUAAAAAAUAAUUUAAAAAUAAUUAAAUUUUUUAAAAAAACACAACUUAUCAUGUAAACAAAAGGUGCCAAGAAAGAAAAUAUUUCUAUAAAAUAGUGAAAUAGUUAAUCUGUAUUUAUUCAUUACUUAUUCAUUCAUGUUAAAAAUUAUAAAGUCUAAUUCUUAGUUAAUUUAAUAUUGAAAGAUAAGAUUGAAAAUAAAAAUCAACUAAAAAAAACUCAAGUCAACCAGUUUAACCUGCAACCCGGGUUAUAAAACUGUGGUAACCCCAUAAAAAACAAAUAAAAAUCAAUUUAAUUAUGAAACUCAAUUACCAAUUCACCCAAUAUUGAAUGAUUAAAUUGAAAAUAAAAUCAAAUAAAAAAAAAUAAAAAUAAUAACCAGAAUCAACUGGAGUUAAUCUGUCAAACUCAGAUAAGGAGACCAAGAUAAUUGAAGACCAAGAUAACUUUUCAGUUAUCAAUUUUUCAUUGUAAUUAUUAUUUAUUUAUCAACAAUAUUCUAAUUUAGAUAUUAUAGGAUGAAGCGUGUCUAUUCUGCUAAACCGUAUUUGUUCUCAACACCAUAAUCAUCUAAGCUAGAUGUCAAAGUUACAAACUAUUAUGGCUUUAUCUACAACAUAAAUUGAAUAUAUGACACCUACACAAGUUUGCAAGAAAGUAGUUUGGAUUAAAAGGCAAUGGAAGAACUCGAACAUAAAUAAAUAAAAAAGAUUUUGGAUUAAAAGGCUAAUGAAGAACUCGAGCACAUAUACAUAAAAGAGAUUUUUGUGAAUUUUGAUAAUUAGAGUGCCUUGUAUAUUGCAAGUACUCUUUCCUUACAUUCAAAGACAAAUCACAUAUAGGAGUGCAAUAUAAUUUUUUCCGAGAAGUAGUGGAAGAGAAUAGUGUGGAUCGAUAUGCAAAGAUUCACACGACAAUUUAGCGUAAGCGGCAUGUAGCUGGAAAUAAUUGAAAAGAAAAAAGAUGUGAAAAGUGAGUUUAAGUGGGAGAAUGUUAGCUAUAAACUCACAUUUCGUACUUGGAAAGUCAAUUACUUGGAGAAGAGAAACAUGGAAAACAACCUUCUUCUGUCUUUUGCAAAGUAUGUGGUUGGAAAAUCUGAACAUGAAAGUGUCAAAGAUGGCUGCAUGCACAAUUGCAAACGCUGAAAGUGGAGGAGUAGCCAUGUCAAAAAUGGAUGCUGAGAAGGUAGCAAAGUUAGUGUGUUUAGCUGGGUUUUUUUUGGCUUAAUAAGCGAGGAAGCUCCCUAGAGACCUUUUGUUUCUUUUAAUUAACAAUAAAAGAGAGUUAGUGUUGUUUUAUCCAUUAAAAAUCCUUCGAUUCUUGUUUAUUGUCUUUCCCUUAAAUUUGUUGGGAGUUUUGUUUUUCAACUUAAAUCUUUGUCUCAACACUUUACUUUAAUUAUGUGAUACUGUUUCAACCCAACUUAAACCAUUAAAAUCCUAACAAGCUCUACAAUAAAUAAAUAAAAAACAAGGAAUUCCUUCUUGCUGAUUUUAACAUGGCAUAUGAAUCCAUCUUUUAAGUCCCAAUCCCUUGAAAAACAGAUAUUGAAAGAAAAAAGCCGUGAUAUAAUUUAGACAUUUAAGGUCCUGGAUUUUGCAUUCAAAGAACAUUUCGUGAACCUAAAUUUGUUAUUUCGUUAAUAAGUUCACCUGAAAUACUUAAAAAUGCAAAAAAAAUCAAAUAAAAAACACCACAAACACCCUUUAAAGUUUAAACACUAGUAAAAGAAAGGUCUGUUUUGGCUAAUUUGCUAAAAUAAGGGAGAUACCAUCUCAUAAAGCAAGCCUAGAGCACGUCUAAUUAGAACAUUGCUCAUAGGCUGACAAUGGCUCAAGAACAAUAGAUAUUCACUCCCAAAUCAUGUGCCAUGAGCACCACAAUACAAUACAAUUGAUUAAAUGCCAAGCAAACGUAGUGUUUCCUCAUAGAAGGACACAACAGCAUUCACAUUCUACAUACAUACAUGCAUAUGCCUAAAUGGAUAUCUAUAUAACUCAACAAGGCAAUGUUUAUGCAAUAGCAGAACACCAAAGGCGCAUGACUUAUUGAAUCUCCAACGUUAAGUUCGAGGGCAACAAAGAAAGAAGCUGGAUUUAGAAGGUGGAACCAUUCCAUCCAAAGUGGGUACCCUGCAAAAGAAAGCAAACAUCAGUAUCAUUGAUAGUGGCUGCAAAAUGACUUUUUAUGAGGACAUAAUCUGAGAAAUAUGUGGAGGUUGACUCCUAAGGCAAAUUUAAUUUAAUAACUAUGAUUGCAUUCAGAAAGAAAAAAAAAAGAUUGUUUUUUUUACAGGAAUUAAUGCUGAUAAGAAGCAAGCGAAAAUCAGGCAUUUUCUUGGCUAUGACCGGCCGGCCAAACAACAGAAAGAAUGCAAUGCGAAGAAAAAUGUGCACCGCAAUAAUCGAUGUUCUUGGUGACAAUUAAAAGUUGAGAUGGCUUGC